UUUUUUUUUUUUUUUUUUUUUUCAACCUGGCCCACGUGACGUACAGACCGCGCCACAAAUGACAAAAUUCUCUGUGUCCCUCGGGCAGAGUCUCCUUUGUAUUUCACGGCGUACCAACGGAUACAAACAGGAUCACAACACACACCAUUUACCAAUCAACAACAAGGCAUGAUAUGAUUUCCAUACAGCUAACAAUCCUAGAAAUGAUGCAUGCCUCUAAGCACCUCCUUAGGCGCUGCGAUAUGCAAUGCACAAUACAACAAACAUUCCUAUUUAAAAGUGCUCACCCACACGGAAGCUUUUGUUUUGAAAACCGACUACCGCGAGGGUAGAAAACCACGAUGCGUAAAAUCCAUAAAACAAAUCCACAAUCCCAACAAUCCACAAAUUCAACCAGCUCACAACAUUCAAACAUCAAGUAUGAUCAUCUAACUGAACCAUAUAAACUAAUUGGCUAUAACAACAGAAUAGGUAAGUGAUAAAAACUAAAUCGAUACCCGGGUCGGAAGCUCUAUCGACCGCUAACGAACUACCUCACGUCUCGUCCCAAAAACUCAUCACCUGCAAUACCUGAAAAAUGGUGGGGGAGGUGAGAACAUGUUAAACAUGUCUCCCCUCCCAGUGGUACGCGCAAGCCGAUGAAGCGAUGAGUACUCACCGCAUCAAGGAAGAGCUAAACAACAGUACGGGUCAGUAGAAAUACAGUAGCAAUAAUAAUAAAAUGAAAGAGACAUAUAUAUGAAAGAAAUACAACUACCGCCACUGUAUAUGACAACUGAAUUGUAUACAUGUAACAAAGACUAUAGUAGCAGACGAUAUAUAUGAAAGAAUGAAGGUAUACAAACAACAAAACGCGUACUAUAGUUAUAUGCGUCAACACGGACAAGAAGUCAAAUCCCAAUCUGGUACCUGCAAUUGGUACCGCAGAACACUCAAGCGCUGCCUGUGAUAACCUGCACCGACCUGAUUCACUGCCGCCCAUAGGAACACCAUCCGGAUAAGUUACACCUCCGAUCGUGGCCAAACGCGAUCCGGUGUCGUGAAUACCCCCAAGUGCUGUGACUAAGUCAUCGCUGGUUAUGCUCAAUACAAAAACCGGCUGAAACCGGUGCCUAGGCCGAAGCGAGAAACAAGGGGCGUACAAGCCGACCUCGAUCAACUAGAUCAAACACAUACGAGAAAGAGUCAAUGUGUUGCCUGGACCCAAGUCCACAGAGUCCAACUGACCAACAAGGUUCGAUACGAAGUACGAGAACCGACCAACCAUGUCGCAGAUACGGAAUGCAACAACCAACCAACUAGAUCACAGAUGCUGAAUGCAACAACAGACCAACUAGUCAACAGAUACGGAAUGCAACAACCAACCAACUAGAAUCAACAGAUGCUGGAAUGCAACAACAGACCAACUAGGUCAACAGAUACGGAAUGCAACAACCAACCAACUAAGAUCAACAGAUGCUGAAUGCAACAACAGACCAACUAGGCACAGAAUCGGAGUGCAACAACCAACCAACUAGUCAACAGAUACAGGCAAUGUAGAUAGAACUACUCUACUCUCUACUAAGGAUACUAAGCAGCAAACAACGAGUAGAGUAUAAGAACGAAUAAACAAGGGUGCAAGGACUAAUAUACUAUGCGAUAGUAACAACAGAAGGGUAAGGGGUAAGAAACCGUCACCAAGCGUGCACCACUGUACCGACGUCGGAUCGAAGUACCCUGUACGGAUGUCGCGUCUGUCUCUGACUGCAAAAGAUAUGUCGACAGGACCUUAGAGGGUCCACCGGGUUAGUAUCUAACCCACAACUAAAUAAUCACAGAAUCCACAACCCAACAAACGAUCCACGAAGAUCGAGUUUCCCAAACCGAUUACCGAACUCGCCGGAAGUCCGAAAACCACACCGGGACUCCGUCGGACCACUAAGUGUCCGAACUCACCGACUCACACCAGAGUCACCGCUGCCCACAAAACAUUCCAAUUGGAUGCCUUGGCAGCGAACACAAGGUAGCACAACCAUAGAUCAUCGCCGGAUAUCGUACGAAUCCGGGUUCCCCGAAGUGUCUAUUUCGACACCGGAACCCUCCGUCGCUCACCUAUCAUCAUCGAGCUCACAAAUGAUGAUUGUGACCAGCCAACAAGCUCAGCGCAAAACACGAAGCAACCAAACACGUCGAAAGAAUCCGAACCGAAACCGCGUUUCUUUCGGCGAAUUUCGCCGAAAAAACGCGCCGAAAUCGACCUACCGAUUUCCGCAAAGCUAACGGACCAAUGGACAAUUCAGUCACACAAGUUUACAAACUCCCACACACUGCCCACAGUAGCCACCAGAAAGCACAAUUGCAUAAAAGACCUCCUAAUUACAUAAAAUAUCAUCAUUUUAUGUAAUUGAGCGAUCAAGGGACGCUCGUUCACCGCAAACCGAGGACUUUCGAAGUCCGCAGAGACACGUAACUGACAGGUCCGACGUACCGGAGUCCGUGCUCAUGAUCCGGAGCACAGCGGCUCGCUGUGGGAAGCGCGGAGCAACCCGAAGGUUCAGAGAACAGCGCAAGUACAGGAAGAUCGCACCGAAUAGAACAACCGGACACUUCUGAUCCAAAGUGAGGUGAGAACUGGUGAUCAGCACUGACCAACGAUCACGCGUGCUAACCUCGGAGGCCAUCAGGACAGCCUCGGAUCGCCGAUAAGCGUGCGCAAACGCCAAAACAGCAUGCCAAAAGGCUGAAAGGCGGCGACAUCCGCCAAAACAGCGGAAGGGGCCUCCCGAUAGAAACAAAGUGAGCAACGAUGAUCGGCAACUUGUCAGGAUCAUCGUGCUCCUUCCGUAGAGAUCGGGAAGCUCGGAAAGCCCCAGAACAAGAAACCCCCACUCAAUAAGCUCCAUUUUCGGGCUUGCCGGAGCAACCUUGCUCCGGCUGCCUCCGGCGCAGUCGGCGGCGCGCGCGGGGCCUGAGUCGGGUGAGGGGAGGUGAGGACACCGUGCUCACCUCAGCGCGCGCUGGAAGCGGCGGCGGCGGCGGCGGAAGCAAACGAGCCCGCACGAAGUCGGGCUCGGGUUCCAGGAGUUGCUGCGGCCACGCGCGCCGGGAGCUCCGGGACGGCGGAGGCGGCUGGCAGGAAGUCGGGGAGUUACUACGGGUGGCCCAAUGGUGGCGGGCGCGCUGGGAAAGAGGCCGCACACGAGAUCGGCCUGGGCUCGGGCUGGGGUGGCCGCGGCUGGCCGAGGCGCGGAGGCGGCGCGCCGGGCGGCCGACGACGGCGAAGGGCCCCGGCAACGGGGGGAGGACGACGGAGGGUUACCAGACGGCUGGCGGCGCACAGUGGUGCUGCGGCAACCGCGGCUGGCCAGGCUCGGCCUGGGCUGCUGAGCGGCAUGGAGCGGCUGCGGCGGCACAGGCGACGGGCGGCGGUCGGCGGGAAAUUUGCCGGAGCAGCGGUGAAGUCCAGGGGGAGGGUCUGCAGGAGGCGCAGCCCCGGGCCUUCACACAACCCGGAGAGAAGAGGGAGAGAGAAGAGAUGGAGAAAGAGAGAACUGGUGCUCGCGGACGGCGCCGGGGCUCAGCGCGGCGGCGGCCGGGGUGGUGCAGCAAGGGCAGGGGAAGGGUGAGAGUGGCUGGGGCGACUAGGGUAGCUAGGGUUAGGGUUGAGUGGCUCCAAACCCUAAAGAGACUAUAUAUACAAGGCGCAAUUGCAAAUAGGUCCACCAAACACCCGGAAUUUCAAUCGAGCCUUCACCGAACGCCUAAAACGCGUGAACGACCCUCCACGUGCGAUCUCAAACAACGCAAAACGUACAUAAAAAUUAUCGCGAUUUUCGCGAAAAUACCAUUUUGCCACUACGUCCUCUCCUCGAUCAACGCGCGAAUCUCCGCAGAUCCGUCCGUCUAGAUUUGCGAACGCGAUUACACCGGUGCGAUCAGCACUCUCGGAGACAACAAAGCUGUCUAUUUCGUUUCGUCUUGAUCGACCACCGGAUUCACGACAAAAUCUAACCUCUUCGUAUAGAAGAAACACACACAAAAAUACAUAUAAAACAUGUAUUUUUAGAUUUUCUGCGAAAUCCGUGCGUCAAAACCAAAUCCGUCAACGCCAAUUAGUCCAGAACAGCUGACCCGGUGAAACGAGCUAUUGGACUGCUAUGAACAGAGUCCGGUAAACCCAGAAGCCAACUUCUCACCGUGGCUUCUCCUGGAAAAUAUCGAGUUAUUUAUUUUCACUUUAAGUGAAAACUAAUAAUCGCGUAACUUCUCCGUUUUAGCUCAGUUUCUCCUGAAACUUGACGAGUGCUUAUGUAAUUAAAUUACACACAUAAACAUCAUCAACAGAGAGUUUACCUACACUGCAAAAAUCUCAGUCCUUACAUCAUCCCCCCCUUAAAGGAAGUUUCGUCCUCGAAACUUGCUCACAGGCAGGGGUGAUCCUACGCCAGAGAAUCAACACUCACCUCGGAGAACCGAACUACAACCCGACAAAGUCAGAACUUAACCAUCGGAACUCAUCGAUGGCACCCAACUCUCUUAGGUCCAAGACCUAACCAUUUGCCUAGACCAAAAAGGUUUAAGGCUGCCAGUACCAGUUGAGCCAACAAUUUAUACAACCCAAGCAUAUCCGUCACCAGGUGAACAGAGUUGCCACUCGCAACAAGCGAUCGAAACCACCAGUGAUGCUCCACAUCUGUCUCUACGAGACCCUAUCGCUGCCGUCUCCAAGGGACCCUAGCGAUCGACGUCCUGAGCAACACUAGAUGCCCGUCUCAUCGAGACUCCCACAAGUGACCGAAUAGCAACCCAAUCCAUUCCAAGGUAUCCACGAUAGACCAAAACAUAUACCUUGUACAACAACGCAAGCUGCGACAUCUGAGCCAACCACCAGGCUCACUAGAUGAUCAAAGAAGACUGACACCUCUCACGCAAGAGAAAAGAAAUACCGACCCAAUCCAGAUAUUCCCCAAAAAGGUGGGGCAUCUUAUCCUAACUUUCGACAUUACGUUGUCUGCAGCCAACGUAAUUAUCGAAUGAAAGGUAAGGUACCCACUGAUCCAUCACCAACAACAAGUUGGGGACAAGACACAAGAACCAAUUCGACCAAUAACCGUACAAUGCACUAGAAUGCACGAACUGAGAUCCGACAUCACAACUAUACAAAAGCAAGACUCAACACACACCACACUGACAAGAAACCCACAAAGGUCGAAACAUCUUCCCAGGCAAUACCACCAGCAAAAUCAUCCGACAUAACUCAACAGAAUACACCCUGUGCUUGCGGAAUGACCAGCAAAAACUUCCAUGUCCCGUGUUGGAGGUGGGGCGAUAACAAUAGCCAUAGCAGUCUGAUGACACCUCACUGCUCAGAGCUAGUCCGGUCACUAUCCCCACUCCUAACACCAAAACAAGCACAAGCCACAACCUGUAACAAAAGAACACGAGGUAAUAACACAAAUCAACCCUUGAACCUACCAGCUCGAUAACCCCGAGACUAAAUCUCGUAUACCCCGCGCUCGUACGUGCCUACGAUUUUAUGGUCUUCCUAUGGUCAACCUAACCAAUGGUUCAGUUAGAAAACUUGUAAAUGCAGUUGUAGUUGUUUCACGCUCUGAUACCAUCUUAAUCUGUCACGCCCCGGGGCCGAUUUUAAAAGCUUUUUAAAAACAGAGUUGCGGAAAACGUGCCAUUAUUAUUUUUUUUUUUUUUUCAACCUGGCCCACGUGACGUACAGACCCGCCACAAAUACAAAAUUCCUCUGUCCACUCGGGCAGAGUCUCCUUUGUAUUUGCACGGCGUACCAACGGAUACAACAGGAUCACAACCACAACCUACAUUUACCAAUCAACAACCAAGGCAUGAUAUGCAUUUCCAUACAGCUAACAAUCCUUAGAAUGAUGCAUGCCUCUAAGCACUCCUUAGGCGCUGGAUGAUGCAAUGCACAAUACAACAAACAUCCUAUUUAAAAGUGCUCCCCACACGGAAGCUUUUGUUUUUAAACUCUAAUUCAUUCAUUCAUAAAAACCAUUCGAAAACCUUUUUAAAACUGUUUCCCACACGGAAACUCUAUUUUGAAAACCGACUACCUCGAGGGGUAGAAAACCACGAUGCAUAACUACAAGAAAACCAAAUCUCCACAGAACCAAAACCACAGAUCGAAAACUCCAAUCUCAUGUAUAAAAGAAACCAGCACCACAGUUCACAUACAUUCAAGCAUACAUAAGAUCAGCUAACUGAACCAUAUAAACUAUCUAAACUAUAUCAACAGGACAGUAAGGGUAAAAACUAAACCGAAUAACCUGAGUCGGAAGCUCUAGCGACCACUACGAACGUGUCUCGCGUCUCGUCUCAACUCUCACUGCCGGCGAUACCUGAAAAAUGGUGGGGGAGGUGAGAACAUGUAAACAUGUCUCCCCUCCCAGUGGGUACCGCAAGCCGAUGAAGGCGAGGAGUACUCACCGGAUCAGGAAGAGCUAAACAACAGUACGGGUCAGUAGAAAUACAGUAGCAAUAAUAAUAAAUGAAAGAGACAUAUAUAUGAAAGAAGUACAACUACCGCUACUGUAAUGAACAACUGAAUGUAUACAUGUAACAAGACUAUAGUAGCAAGACGAUAUAAUGAAAGAACUGAAGGUAUACAAACAACAACCGCUACUAUAGUUAUAUGCGUCAACCGGACAAGAAGUCCAAAUAUACCCAAUCUGGUACCUGCUAUAUUGGUCCGCAGACCUCAAGCGCUGCCUGUCACUAACCUGCACCGACCUGAUUCACCCGCCCCAUAGGACGACCCAUCCGGAUAAGUACACCUCCGAUCGGUGGCCAAACCGAUCCGGUGUCGUGAAUACCCCCAAGUGCUGUGACUAAGUCAUGCUGGUAUGCUCAAUACAAAAACCGGCUGAAACCGGUGCCUAGGCCGAAGCCAGAAACAAGGGCGUACAACGCCGAACCUCGAUCAACUAGAUCAAAACACAUGAACAUUGGAUGAAACUUGACGAGUGCUUAUGUAAUUAAAUUACACACAUAAACAUCAUCAACAGAGAGUUUAGCUACACUGCAAAAAUCUCAGUCCUUACAUUUUAAUUCAAAAUUGAGGUGAUAAAUUGGAACUACAAAUAUCCCAAAAACUCUUGUUGGAAAUGUAUGAAGAUCCUUUCACCUACCUGCCUUUAGAAAUGCAUGUCCACAUGAACUUCUUUUUUCUUUUUUUUUUUUGAGUUGAGAUUUUUUUAAAAAUUUUUGAAAUCAGUUGACAGUAGUAAAAAAAAAAGGAACUUUAUCAAGCCGAUUGAUGAUUUUAUUAACUUUAAAAAUGUUAAUUGUUUAUUAAUAUAACUUACGGGAUGAAUUAAUCUAUUUAAAGUCUUUGACCUAACUAAAUAAUCAUUAAAAAAUAAAUAAAUAAAGAGAAAUGUUAGAAGUUGAUUACCAAUCCAAACAAAAAAGUUUGAGAGAUCGAUUUGGGAAUGAUCUAUAGUUGAGGGGUCUCCAUACUUUUUUUUUUCGGAAAAUUCCUUUUUUUUUUUUAAGGGCUGACUAUUCUAUGAGAAAUGCUUUAUUACAACCUAAUCCUACAAAUUUUGUCAUUCGAAGAUCAACUUGCUUCUACAGAUCUUGUGAUUUUUUUGUUUUCUUAUUACUAGAAAUUUUUUAAAAGAUUGGAUGAACUCUAACGCCAUUGACGUGGAUUAUAAAGAUUACAAUUAGUCUUAGUUGUAGACUUAGGGAUGUUGGGCCUAAGAUUUCCAAAAGUGAUUAGGGCCAAAAUUGAUAUAUAUUUUUUUUUCAAUAGAAUGAUUGGCAAAAUCUGGUUCUUAGAAUUAGAUUUUUUAUUUUAAAGGACCAAAAUAAGAAACAACAAAAAUUUAUUUCUUAAAAUCUGAUUCUGAAUUUAUAAAUUUAUGCACAAAUCAUAGAUUCGAAUAAUUUCAAUUUGCAGUUUAAUAUUUAGUAUUUUAAUUUAAAUUUUAAAUUUUACAUUUACACUGCAAAUUUUAAAUUUUAAAAUUUAAAAUUUAAAAUUUUUUGUUAAAAUUUAAAAUAUAAAUAUUUUAAAUUUUUAUUUUAAACUUUAAAUUUAUAUUUAUAUUUAUAAAGGUAAAUUUUAUUUUUUAAUUUAAAAUUUUAUAUUUGAAUUUUUUAAUUAAAUUUCAGCUUCAAAUAGUCAAUUUAAGAUUUUAAAUUUCCAAUUUUUAAAUUUAAAAUUUGCAGUUUUAAAUUUUAAAUUUUAAAAAUUUGCAAUUUGUUAAAUAAUAUAUUUUGGAUCUUACAUGUAAAAUUUAGAUCUAAAUUUUCAAUUUAAUUUUGAUUUUGCAAAAUUAAUUAAUUGUAUUUAAAAAAAGUAAAAGUGAAAGGAGCAAAAAUCUGAAAAAUUAAAGUAGAGGGCGCUAUUUCGGAACAGCCUGUUCAUUCGUUCAUUUUUUUUUUUUGAUAGAAAGGUUAAUUAAAAAGGUUAAUUGCUUUAUUAAUUGGUCCCUAAUCUUUACAAGCUGUAACGUUUGGUCCCGAAUAUAUUUUUCGUUAUUAGAUUCUUAACUUUUAUAUUUUAUUACGGUUAGGUUCCAAUCAUUCAAAUUUGUGUUACUUGUAUAACUUGUAUGUGUGAUUAACAACAUUGAGCGUUGUAUAUUUGGAUUUGACACAGCUAGGCACAGGCAUAUAGAAAAGAGAUUAGGAAUCAAAGUGCUGUGUGUAAUAGGUUUUGAAUUUAUAAAUUUUUAGCUUAACCCUUUUUGGCGUGUCAUCAAUAGCCUUUGAUUCUGUUAGGCGUCAUUUUCGUGCCCAAAAUAGAUUUAGGAGGUGUGGCAUAUGAGAUAUGCUUUCUUAGGUGCAAACAAAUUAAUACACCGUCUGUCCAAUAGUUGGGGAAGAGGAAGAAAAAGAAAAAGUUAGACCAUUUACAAACCUUAGGGUGAGAGGAAUGCCCUCAUAGCCAGCACAGUAGAAACCGAUACAGAGGCUCAUUACUAAUCGGUAAAAUAAAUUACUUUGCUCAAUAUUUUAGAUUGUUCAUUCUAAAGAUUAUUGAGAAUGAUCAUCCGCUAAUCUCCAUCGUCGUAGAUUUUAAAAAAAAUAAUUCGUAAACAGUUUAAAAAUUUUAUGAUAUUUUAAAUGUCCAUCCUUAGGAUCGAUGUCCGCCCUGUGUGUUGCGCCUCCUCCGGCCGUUGCUCCACUGACAGUGCAGGAGAAGGUGAGAAACUUUUCUUUUUUUAAUAUGAUAAAUAUUUAUUUAUUUAUUAUUUAUUUGCUUAUUGCAGGUUAUAAUAUCUUAUUUUAAGAGAGUUGCUGAUAGUAUUUUAACGUUGAGUGCGUUUUACUUCGGUGCGUCAUAUUUUGCAUUUUCCUUCUCUAUGGAAAGAUUACCGACGCUGCGCCAGCCCAACGACGACGAUUCGAAGCCAUACGAUAUGUUGCACAGCGUUCAAGCUGCUUCUCUGUAUGCCAUUGUUAUGUGUAGUAUUAUUGCCGCAACAGUAAAGUCCAUUCUCUUACUAGAUCACGUACAAUUAAAGUUGGUACGUAGUAGAGGAUGGAGAGUUUUAAUUUGUGGGCAUAUGAUAGUAGCCAUACUAUGCCUCGGUCUUUCCAUCACCCUCGUACUUGUUUCUAUUUGGUUGGUUCUACGGGUUACGAGCACUGUGUAUUUUCCACCUACUUUAGUUUUUAUUGGAUUUCUAACUUUUACUGUCAUUAAUGUUGAACUAGUUGGUGUAAUGAUUUAUGUUAUUACUAGGGGGUCUUAGAUAGUACAUUAUCAUCUGUACUUGUUAUUAAGCAUCUUAAAAGGCUAUGAUAUUUUUUAUUUUGAUUCUCUGUGCCAAGCCAUUUGCAUAAUUAGUCUUAUGAUGCAGUGAGUUCACUUCUUUUUCUUUUUUUUUUUUGUGUGUACUUUUCAAAUUUAUAGCUUCGACACUGGAGUAAAUUUUAUAUUUCUAGAUAAAUUUAUUUUUGUAAAAAAAAUAAAAUAAAAAAUGCUAUAUUUCUCUUAAAAAAAUUCUCAUAGUAUAGUCAUCCAAUCUUAAAAAAUUGUAGGAUUAGGUUGUAAUAAAGUUAAUAAAAUCAUCAAUCAGCUUGAUUGAUAAAGUUCCUUUUUUUUUUUUACUACUGUCAACUGAUUUCAAAAAUAAAAAAAAAAUCCAAAUCCAAAAAAAAAAAAAAAAAUUAAAGUCCAUGUUGACAUUUCUAAAAGGCAUGUCGGUGAAAGGGUCUUCAUACAUUUCCACCAAGAGUUUUUGAGAUAUUUGUAGUUCCAAUUUAUCACAUCAAUUUGAAUUAAAAGAAUAACACCAGUUCAGAAUUAAAAUUCUAAAAUGCUUAAAGGUAUCUAAUAUAACUUAGCAGGUUAUGAAUAAUGCAAGUUAAUGUCAACAUAAAGGGGGAGAUUUCAAAAUGUCCUAUACUUGGGGAAGUCUUAAUUGGUUUUUUUCUGUUUUUGAUUUAAGUGACUUUGUUGAUUUAAAUUUAAAACUUUAUCUAGUUUAUUAAUGUUAAUGAUCCCAUUAAAUUUCAUCAUUUUAACUAGUUUUAAUAAAAAAAUAUAAAGGCCAAUAGCUAAUGUGCCAAUAAAUAUAUUUAUUGUCAUGCUUUUCAUGUUUUUUAGCACUAGCAAGUUUUGCCAAGAAAGGUAUGGAAGGAAGGUUCUGGUGCCCCUAAAAGGGUUUAGGAGGUGGCAUAGAAUAGGGUAUAGAAUAGAGCGGAAGAAUAAAAGGGGACAAAGAAAGGAAGAAGUGGAAAAGGUGGAUUUAAAAAGAAAAGGAUUUUUAAAUUUUUUUUUGGUAAAUCAGUGAAUUUUUUAAAAAAUAUGUUUAGAAUUCUUAUAUAUUAAAAAACUUUAAAUAUAAUUUUAAAAGUUUUAAAUUAGAACUAAAUAUAUUUAUAUUAGGAGAAAUUAUUAAAAACUUGAAAUUUAAUUUAAAGUUGAAUUUAUAAAUUGGACCCAAGAUUAAUUGUAAAAGAUUUUUUUAUAAGUUUAUCAAUAAUAUUUGUUCUCUCUUGGAACAGAUAAUUGACCGUUUUCUCACAUAUAGGGUUGGAACGGAGGGGUAACUUUUUUAAAAAAAAAUAGAAAUAUAAUUUUGAAAGUUUUAAAUUAGAACUAAAUAUAUUUUAUUAUGAGAAAUUAUUAAAAUUUUGAAAUUUAAAUUAAAAUAUAAUUUAUAAAUUGGACCCAAGAUUAAUUGUAAAAAAAAAAAUUUAAGUUUGUCAACAUUUGCCCUUCUCUCACAUCUAGGCCUCCAAAAAAUAUUGAGUUUCCGGCCGAACUUUUACCCAAUUUUUCUGAAAAAUUAAGGUACGGCACGGCCCAAGCCCAAUGCUCAACACCCAUUGAACUUUGUUGAGGCCCACUUUAUGCAUAUGUCAUGUUGCUCAUAUAUAUUAUUAUUGCAUUAAAUUAUAACAAAAUAUCUAUUUCUGUAUGUUCAAGACUAAAGUUUGAUCACAUCAUUAGUUUAUCUUUAAAACAUCGAUCAUCUAUGUCCAACUCAAUCUCGAAGCCUCAUAGUUAUCGAUAAUUAAAAACAAAUCCUCAUGGCUUUGUUUGGUUCGGGUAUAAAUAAAAACUAGUUGUUCCAGGAAUAGGUAUAAGAUGAGUAUAAGGUGGGUAUAAAGUAAUUUUGUAUUUGUUAAGUAUUGAGUUUUAGUCCAGGUAUAAGCAAAAUAGUUUUGUUGGAGUAAGUGGAAAAAGAAAGAUAAUGGGUGGUUAUAAAUAUAAAAUAAUAAUAUUGCCCUCUUUAUUAUAUUUGAAUUAAAUUUUUAAAUUUUAUAUUUAAAAUUUUAAAUUUAAAUAUAUAACUCUUAAAUUUCAAAAAUAUAAAAUUAAAAUUUGAAUUUAAAAAUCUCAAAUUCGAAAAUUUAAAGUUCUACAUUUUUAAUUUCAAAUUUUAAAUUUAAGAUCAAAUCUAAAUUAAAAAAAAUAAAAUAUCAAAUUUUAAAUUUAAAAAAUUUAAAAAUAAUAAUUUAAAAUUUAAAAUUUAAAAUUAUAAAUAUUAAUUUUAAAAUUACAAAUUAUAAAUUUUUAAAAUUUAAAAUUUAAAAUUCAAAAUUUAAUUUAAAUUAAAAAAUUAAAUUGGGGUGGGAGAUAGCAAUCCCACCCCAUAUUUUUUUUUUGUUUGGGUAUAAGGGGUGGGAUAAACCCUUAUCCCACCCUUUAUACCCCAACCAAUAUAUGUUGGGAAUCUGGUACUCGCCCCGGUACCGGAUUUUGAGAAUCCGCAACCCGCUCCGAUACUGAUUCCUGUGGAUCAAGUAUCGAUUGUUGGGAUUCCGCAACGGAAGUAUCGAAUCGACUUUUUACCAUAAACCCGUCUCUUCAGUAGAAGCUGAUAUAAUCACAAAAGAGAAAAAAAUCAAAACAAAAAAUAUGCGGAUAAAAUAAGAUUCAUUAAAUAAGAGAAGAUUAUACCUGACUCCUCUUCUACGUAGAGUAACUACAACUUGAGACCUCUUUUUGAAUCUCUCUUACCUUUCUCUUAUCUCUAUAAACCCACAAAGAAGACAACUCUUUCUUUUUCUCUCUCACGUGCACUAGGUACGUGCAACUCAUGGCCAAGUUUCUCUUUGGUACGGUCCACCAAUGGCUUCAAGACACCUCACUGUACCUUCCUCGGAAUCUCAACUUGGCCGUACUAUACCUUAAACUCUCCACCAAUGAAGAUAUUUAUAAAGUUUACAUCAAAACGUACCUGAAUCCUAAUAUAUUCAGGAUUCCUACUCCAAUAAAUAUUUAAAAUCUAUACUUAGUUUAUCUCCAAUAGAUUUAAAUAUUUAUCCUAAUCUAGUUAGAUUCAUACUCUAAUUAAUAUCUAAAUCUUAAUUUAUCUCCAAUAGAUUUAAAUAUUAAUUCUAAUCCAAUUAGGAUUCAACUACAAAUCUAACCAAAUCCUAACAUUCUCCACCGUGGUUGGAUAGUCUUCAAUCGCUGCAUCGAGCUCACCAUGCAAGCUCCAUCUUGAGCUUGUCUCCACUGGAUAUUGUCACAUCGGCCUCUCUGCCUCGAGCAACUGCACCUCCACGAACUUUUGGAACCAAAACCGUCUUCGCUCUCGUUUUAACUGUGCUCCCGUUCAUAACGUAUAAGUUCUCGCGCUUGUUCGCCUUGCAUAUGACCCAAUCUCGCUUUCGGACUCUCAUAGCUCCAUCUGAAGCUGAAAAAUUACAACCCUUCGAGUCCAACGCCCCUAACAAGAUCAAAUUUCGCUUCAAACUAGGAACAUGUCAUACACAUGUCAGCAUCCUCACGACCCUAUCAUGCAUUCGGAUCUUUACCGUGCCGACUCCCAAAACUUUGCACACCGUCCAGUUCCCCAUCAAAGCUUUUCCUCCCUUGAUUGCUUUAUAGGUGGCAAAAGUCUUUCUCCGGGCAGACAUGAAAGAAACACACCGAAUCGAGCACCCACGCAUCAUCCGAAAUUUUUGUACCUCCGGACGCCGCAUAUAGCACAUCAGAAUCGAUCGUCUCUGACUCUGUCGCCUGCGCCGUCGCUGAUACCAUCUCAUCCUGAUUCACGAUAGUUUUCUCCUUCUGUCGCUUUAACUCUUUCAUAUCAUCCUGAAGUUUUCGACAAUUGCGCUUGAUAUGCCCUUUCCUGUGACAGUAAAAGCACUCCACUUCAGAUAGCGGCUUCUUCUGUCGAUCUCCGAUAGCCGAUAUUGUCGCCUUUUUCUUCGCUCUUACCACCAAAGCAGUAUGCCGGCUCUGCAUGCUGGACUCCGAAGUCAUCAUCCAUAUCUCGUUCGAGAGAAGCGCCGCCGUGACCGCCUCCACGCUUAUGGUAUCCUUGCCGUAAAAUAACGUGGUCAUCGGAAGCUCAUAUGUUGUCGGUAGCGAAGAUAAUAAAAUUAGCCCCUUAUCCUCGUCAUCCAGAUUGACUCCAAUACUGGUCAAUUGGCCACCACCUUGUUGAACUCGUUCAGAUAAUCAUGUAGCUCACCGUUUCCUACAUCCGCAGCGUAAAUAGUCGCUGCAUCAGAUAUAACCUGUUCGUCAGGGAUUUGGUCAUGUACAGAUCUUCCAAUUUAUUCCACAAUUUUGUCGGUGUCGUCUCGCGAGCUACAUUGUAAAGAACCUCAUCUGCUAAUAAUAGAUGAAGUGUACUCAGCGCCUUCCGCUCAAUCUUCAUCCAUACCGCAUUCGUGGCCUCCACCGGCUUUGCCUUCUUCCCGUUCAAUAUCUCGUCCAACUCUUUUUGUAUGAGGAUCGCCCGUACUUUAAUCUGCCAUAAUCCGAAAUUGUUCUUGCCAUCGAACUUCUCGAUUUCGAAUUUUUGUGGCCAUCUCCGUCGAUCUCUUCUGCAGAUCGGUAACCUUAAGCUCUGAUACCAAAUCUUGGGAAUCCGAUACUCGCCCCAGUACUGGAUUUUGAAAAUUCACAAUCCGCUCCGAUACUGACUGCUGUGGAUCCGGUACUAAUUGUUGGGAUUCCGCAACAGAAGCAUCGAAUCGGGUUUUUACUAUAAACCCGUCUCUUCAGCAACAUCUGAUACAAUCACAAAUGAGAGAAAAACCAAAAUAAAAAAUAUGUGGGUAAAAUAGAAUUCAUUAAAUAAGAAAAGAUUACAACUGACUUCUCUUCUGUGUAGAGUAGCUACAACCCGAGCCCUCCCAGUUCCAACUCUACUCACAUUCUUAUACUCUUUCAUCCUAAUAAAAACAUUAAUACAACAUCGCUAUCAAGUGGACGUGUUAUUCAGCAUAAGACUUUGUUCCACUAGAAAAUUGGCUCAAUAGGAGUGCGCUCAAUUAGCUACUGCCUUGUGAAGUAAACGACUCCAAUUUGAGCUUCACUUAGCCCAUUUGCAUUUGGCAUCAGCUAAGUUUACAAAACACAAUAUAAAGAGAUAGCAAUGUCACGAACCGAGUUCUAACAUUACCCAGACUCGCCAACAGAUCCGCCAUAUACACAGGUGGCCAUGUGUACACGAAGCGAAAAGAAGUACUUGUAAACAAUAUAAGAACAACUUCUAGAGUGUAACAGAGCUGCUAAAAUAGAAAUAAGUAGUCAAAUAUACAUACAUGUAAUCCAAGGUGUACAACAAAAAUCCAAAAGUAUAACACUUCACAACUCUCAACAGAUAAAAUAAAAUAUAAUUGUAUGUACAUGACUAAAAACAUCAACUUACACCAAAAUGGUACUUCUCUAGCCGAACAACUGCGGUAAACAGGGAUUUAACUCGCGAUUCCCUUACCUCGAUCAGAAGAAGCAGCAAUAAUCGAUGGUUUUGCAAGAAAAAAUGGCAAUAAUGGGUGUGAUAAUUACUAUAAAAUAGAGUAGUCCUCAGUGGGUAAUGUCACCGACCCCAAUAGCCUACCCACUAAGUCUACAAGGCGAACAAUAAAGCUAGUAGGAAAAAGAAUAGUAAGAUAAGCUAGAAGAAACUCUAUAGCUAAAAUGUCACUACACUAUCACUACCCAUGCCAUGCUUUCUGUAAAAAUAUGCAUCACUAGCUACGAACAGUCACAACUGACCCCAAUCCCAAGGGCCAAUUGGCCAGUCCAGCCUAUGCCCAAGCUACACCACACACUACCCACGAGGGUGGCCAGUCCAAGUAAAAAUGCCCAAACGGGACUGCUGCGAUAUCAAGGCAUGCAAGAAAGCCAGACUCUGGAGCAGCACUCUGGGGGGCGCAACCCCUACCGAGUAUAGGAGCGUGCCUCUGUCGAGCUCAAGCAGGCUAACAUAGGCUGUAAUCACUGCAAAUGCUCAAACGGAUCGAAGAAUCAAAGCUCACGUGCCCUCGGAACAAUCUGAUGCAAACAGCGAAGAUCUAUCAUGCCCCAGAGCCGGUUUAGAAACCAAAGCUUGUGAGAAAUAUGCCAUUUUUUUUUUUUAAACAGCCCGGCCUACAUGACGUACAGACCCACCACAAAUACAAAUCCCUCUGCCCAAACGGAUAGUCUUCUUUGUAUUUGUACAGCGUACCGAUCAAACAACAUCAACAGGAUCAUAACUCACAUCCUACAUUCAUGAAUCCACAAACAAUCAAUGCGAUGUAUUUUCAUACAGCUAACCAUCCUUAGAAAUGAUAUUUACCUUUAAGCACUCCUUAGGCGCUUGAUGAUACGAUGCAAAAUACAACAAUUAUCCUAUCAAAAAUGCUUCCGACCCGGAAGCUUUCACUAUUUAAAACUCUUAGUAUUUAUCAAUCGAAAACCAUUCAAACACCCUUCGAAAACUAUUUUCCACACAAAAAUUCAAUUUUUUGAAGACCGACUAUCACAAAGGGUAGAAAACGAAAUAAUAUGAUUCCAUAAACACAAAUGCUGAAGAUACAGAAAACUCCAAGUACAUGCAUAAUCGAAAAUCCAAAUUCAUUUAAGUCCAAGGUUACCAUUCAUGCAUUAAUAUUAUGAUUAUCUAAUUGAACUAUUCGAUUGUUUAGUCUACUAAAAGAAGUAAAAAGAAAAGAAAUGGGGUAAUGACCGCUAAUGUGAUCUAGCUAUGCCAUCCUCACUUACAGUGUUGACCCUCACCACCCGACCUACCCGAAAAAAUGGUGGGGGAUGAGAACAUGUAAACAAGUCUUCCCCUCCCAGUGGGUACCACAAGCCGACGAAGAUAAGUUGCACACACCGGCAGAUGGAAGGGAUAAAUAGUAGUAUUAACAAGUAUAACAUAGAUAAUAAUAACGAAUAGCAACUACCGAUAGUCCCAAAAGGAGCUACUACUGUAUUUCCGUGCUAGUACUCGAAUUAAUGGAUUAGAGUAUAUAAAACUUAAUUUGGAGUUAAGCUAGAAUUAUAAUUUUAUAUAUUGGACUUGGAAUUGAUGUAGGAGAAAACUAUUGAACCCUACACUGUCAUUUCUGAAAAUUACCAAAUUUAGCUUUAGGAGCUGUGGUUCGUUUGUAUUGUCGCUGUUUGUAUGCGGUGGAUAUCCAGAUUAGUGUAGGAUGAGUUUACGCUCGUGCUGGGAUGCUGAGCUUAUUUUACAUUAGUGUGUAGACUGUUUUGAAUUGUCGGUUGCCGUCGCGGUUGGCGGUGGACCCAAAUUUUUGUGUUUUGCCUCAGAUUGUGCCAAAGGCACGUGAGCUUUGGUUGUUAGACCAGUUAGACCCAUUUGUAUGAAUUAUAGCCUGUGAGAGCCUGAUUGAGCUCGGUAGAGACACGCUUGCAUACUCGGUUGGGUCGCGCCCACGAGUGCCGCUCCGGAGUUUUGCUAUGUGCUUUUGCAUUGAUGUCGUAGUAUCUAGUUAGGACUUUGCUCUCCACUGGCAGCCCUCGGGGUGGUGUGCGGUGUAGCUUCGACAGGCGGGACGGGUGCGUUCACAGUCCCUAGUGAGUUUGGGUCAGAGAUUGUAUUUUUGCUCUAUCUACAGAUAGCCGGUGUUGGUUAGUGAUAGUAUAGUGGCAUAUAACUGUAGGGUUUCCGCUUUCCUUACUAUCUUUUACGCACUUUUCUGUAGACUUAGUGGGUAAACCGUUGAGGUCGAUAACGGUACCCACUGAGGACUACUCCUUUUUGCAGUAGUUCUCAUACCCAGUUGUUGACCCAUUUUUGUAGAGGCUUCGUCCGCGGCUGCUGCUGUCGCCGAUUCUGAUCGUGGAAAGGGAAUCGUGAGCUAGAUUCGUUCCAGUCUUGCUGCAGUACUAGAGGAGUACCUUCCAGAGGUAGUUUUGGGCUUUCCUUGUACAUAUGGUCUUGUUGUCUGGGUACUCGCUGGAGCGAGUGGUGUAGUAGACUUUUUGUAUUGUAUGUACAGGAACCCCUCGAGUCUUUAUAUAUAUAUAUGCUAUUUUUAGUUUAGCAGCUCUUUACUUUGUGGUUAUAGCUUGAUUUUGUUUACAGGUACAGCUAUCGCUUCGUAUACAGAAAAAAUUCUUAUGUAUACGACGAGUCUGUUUGUGUGUCCGAGGAAACGUGUAAUCCGGGGCGUGACACCUAACUUUGGGCUAAUCUUGAAAACCGCAAGUUUUAUAACUUCAUAAAUCUUUAUUAUUGCUUUCCGAUAUCAAGAUGUAGUUAUGGUUUCAUAACGUGAGAUGUAAACGUCGAAGUUUUGGAUUUUGAUCAAUUUUGGUUUUCUCAUGAUAAAUGGAUUUUCGAUUUGGUUUUAAAAUAUUAUAUCAGUUCAAACUUCUCUCUAUCUCACCCUGUUGUAGUUGUAUUAUGUAUAUGUUGUUGUUGUGGUUGGUUGUGUGGUUGAAUAUUAUAAAUUUUACUCCUACGCAGUGCAUAUAUAGGAGAGACUCCAUCUGUUUGUACAAAGAAGAGAGUCUAUCCAUGUGACAGGUUUGUGUACGUUUGAAGCAGGUUUAUAAUAUAUAUAAAAAAAUACAUUUUUUUUGUUGCACUUUGUUUUCACUAUGAAAGACUUUACAAAAAGGCCUCGUGACAUGAUAAUUUAGAGUCCAAUAAAAUUCUAAUAAAAAUGUAGUGGAAAAGACAUUUAUGAUAUAAUUUAUGGAUUUAUGAGGAUGAUAUUGAUAUUGAGAAUUUUGAAGAGACAUUUAUGAUAUGUUUAAAAUUGUCUCUAUUUUUUUUUGAAAAAAUUGAUUUAAAAGUUAAAUAUGAUAUGUCUUUCUAGUUACUUAUCAAACACUUCAAGUUUCUUAAGUAACUUUAAAAGAUAAGCUAAAUGAGAUGUUCAUAUAUCCAAAUAUAAUGAUAGCACGUAGACCCAAUAUCGUCACCCUCAACAUUAUCUUUCAUGCCUAGAAUUCAUCUCAAUCUUGCAUAUGAUGCCUAUUGCCUUUUUUUGGGGCAUUCAAUCGAUGCUUUAGCGUUAAGCUGAAUGUGGUAUUAAAUUCUUCCAAAGAUUUAGAAAAAUUACUACAGAGAGAUUAAUCGGAUGCUACCGGACCAUAAUCGUAGUCUUAUAUAAGAAGGUAGUGUCGGCCUAACGGGACCAUCAUCCUACCUUAUGGUGGAAGUAGAGUUUGUUCGAAUCACAAUCAUACCUUGUGUAUGCUAUGUGUUUGCCUCACUUUAAGUUGAAUUGGUUACCUCCUUCCUAAUAGUUUGAGCUUUUGAAAUUGUAGUCACAUGGAUGAAGUCGCGAGUCAACUAUGAGGAGGGGCCAAAAUAUAUACUAAUAAACACUUUAACUUAUAAGUAAGAUUUUUCCUAAUCAAAUUUUCAAGGAAAAAAUUUACAUGAUUAGAUAAUUAAUGUACAAAAAUAUUAGCUCUUUUUUUAUUUGCCUUUAACUUUCAAUUAUUUUAUUUGCAUUAUUCCAAUCAAAUAGCUUAAGAAUUUUACUAAAAACUAACAGUAACUCAGUCAGCCAUCUAAUUUUUUAGUUUUUUUUGUAAAUAAAAUUAUUAUAAUCAAUAACUAUUAGCUAAUAGAGAUAUUAAAUUUAACAUAAUAAUUUAUUUGUUAAAUGAAAUAGCUCAUUCAAAAUAAUUAAAAGUUAAGAAUGUAUUAAACAAAAUGUUUAAAGUUGAGGAACUUAUUCCAAAAUACCUUAUAACUAAGAGGUUUUUAAUAUAGUUUUCACCCAUAAAACAAAAAAGAAGAGACAAAAAAAGAAUUCAAUUUUAGCACCAAAGACUUUUUAUAAAAUAGGCCAAUAUAUUUUAAAAAUUAGUCAAAAUUUUAUUAACCAGCUUAAGAACUACCUAAGUAAAUAUUGCAAAGUUGUGGAGGGCCAUCACCACUUUGGGUCUAUGUAUAUAUUCGUUCUUGGUGAUUAACGCAAACAAUUCAACAAAUAAUAUCAGAAUAGAUCACGUGUUUUUUUCUCACAUAUUUUAAUUUGUGUAGGUACUGAAGGAAGCUUUAAGUAAAUUAGUUUUUUUUUUUUUUUUUUUUUUUUUUUUUUUUUUUUUUUUUUUUCUAAUAGCUCGAGUGAUCCAACGAGUAGGUAGAAAUUUUGUUGGAGUUGACGUAAUGUGACCUAUAAAAAUUGAGAAUUUGGAUGAAUUAAACCAAGCAAUAAUUAAAAAAAAAUAAUUAAUUACCAAAGUAAAAAAAAAAGAAAAAAGAAAAAAAGAAAGAUCAAAGAGACGAAUGGUGCAAGUAAUCGAGUAGAUAUUUACUUUCCGCGGUAGUUGUUGGGAUGUUUGACGCUUUCGCGGCACGCGAGCGAAGUGAACACGUGAUUCACGAGGGCGCGUCUAAAUUUUGAUCAAAAUAUACGUGGCAUAGAUCUACUGGACCUGGUCUACCACGUCAUUUGCGAGCCAAACAAUUAAUUGAAGGUGAAAAUGUAUGGGACCCCCUCAACUAUAUUGCUUUCUGAAAGAGGGCCCUCAACUUUUUUUUCUUCCCAACGGUACCGCUCAACUUCUUCUUUCUUUUCUUUUAUUUGAAAUUUUGUACUUUGUUAAGUUAAAAAUUUAUUAAAUUUACUAAUUUUAUUGGCUAUUAACUGUAAGUUGAUCUAGUUUUAUUUUUUAAAAGUGAUUAAGUUUAUUAAAUUUAUUGAAUCAUUAAUCAAUUUGAUAAAAUUUCUUAAAUUUUUUGACUAAAGUUAUCGUUUUAUUAGAAAAUUAGAAGUUGAGAACGUCUCACUCCAAAAAUAUAUGUUGAACAUUUAUAAUUUCAAUAUUAAUAUGUAUAUAUAUAAAUAAUUUAAUUUAAUAUUUAGUAUAUUACUAGUCGGAUUCAAUUUUUUAGUUUCGGAUACAUAAUUUUGGUCUUUUAUUUGAUCCCAUUUCAAAUUUUAAAUUUUCAUAUUUUGAUUGUGUUCAACAUGAUUUUGGGUUUCAGUUUUUUAUUUAGAUUUAUUUUGUUUUUUAUAAAAAUGGUCUCAAGUCAAAGUUAAGAAGGGUCAAUCCAAAAAAAAUUAAGUUGGAGGGUCAAUUCACGAUAUUAUAUAGUUGAAGGAUUUUUGUACAUUUUUGCCGAAUAAUUAGUUUAAUAAUUAAUAAUAUUCGGAGUUAGUCGUCGUUAUCUAAUAGCGUGGUCUCGUCGCUCUCCUCUCACAAGGAAAGGGUGAGAGAGAACGAAAGUGCGAAAGAAUAUCUCCGAGCUCAAAAUUAGGGUUUCGUCUUCUCCGUCUCGCUCCUCCGAUCUUGGCGCUCUCCCUCAAUCGCUAGGGUUUCUUCGAUCUCCCUCGCCUCCUCCUUCGAGCCCGGCGAUCUCCCUUCGGAUCGCUAGCGUUUCUUCGUCGUCUUCGAGCUCCUCCGAUCUCGGCGUGCGAUCUCCCUUGAUCGAAUUCGCCUCAGGUAACUCUUCUCCUUCUCAAGAUCGAGGGCGUUGGUUUCUUGAUCUCGUAUGAAGAAUUAGGGCUAUCAUCUGUUUUGAUCCGUCGUUUUCUUCCCUUUUGUUGCGGAUUGAUGCUGUGUUCUUAGAAAUUGCGGCUCUUCUUGCAAAAGAAAAAAACAGAAAGAAGCUCUUUUUGUUAGUGAUAUGGAGAUUCCAAUAAUUUCAUCUUUCUUAUUUUUAAUUCAGCUGGACGAAUGAAGGUUGUGGAUUCCUGAUCUCUUAUGAAGAAAUUAGGUCAUAUCACCUGUUUGAUCCUUUGUCCUUUUUGUUUUGGUGCGAAAAAAGUAGCUUUCUUGUUACAGUUUUCUCUUUUUUAAACAAAAUAUUGUUUCUAUUUGUUACUGUAGAUCUCUGAGUCAGAUUCUCUUUCGAUCUAUUUUGGUUUCUCGAUAGUGAUUUUGAUAAAUUUUUUCCGAAUUUGUUCACUUUUACAUUGUAUGGAGAUCUUAAUAAUUUCGUUCGUCUUCUUUCUAAUCUAGUUCAACGCACAAAGGUUAUGGUUUUCUGAUUUCAUAUAACGAAAUUAGGGCGCAUCGUCUGUUUGAUAUGUUGUUCCUUUUUCUUUUGGUACGAAAAGUGGCUAUCUUGUUAGCAUAUUCAGCAUUCUUUACAUAAAGGAUGGCUUUUUUUGGUUUUUGUAUAUCUCUGGUUUGGAUUCUUGCAUCUAUCUUGGUUUCUUUCUAGUGAUUUUUAUAAAAUAUGUGGAAUUUAUUUAAGCGGACGUCUAUGUACCUCCUAAUUCUUGUUACCUUUUGGAUUUUUUUUUGUUUUUAUCACUCUUAUGUGAGUCUUAUUACUGGAUUUUAGGAAUCUAGCUGCUACCUGUAAAAUUGGAACAUUGCAUUUGUCAUUAGUAAGAAGAAGUUAAGCUUCAAGUCAAGAGAGGGGGGAGCCCCUUUUAGGACAUUUCCUUCGAAGGUUGUGAUUUCUUGAUUUCACAUGAAAAUGAGGGCAUGCUGUAUGUCUCAUCCGUUUUCCCCUGGCAGAAAUAGCUGUAUUUGUUACUGUAUAUCUCUGAUCCAGAUUCUUUCACCUAUUUAAUUUGUUGAUAGUGAUUUUAAUUGAUAUUUGUGGGUUCUUGAUUUCAUACAAAAAUUGUAAUCAAUAUGUAGAUGAAUAUAUUAGAAAUUGUCUCUUUGAAAGUUGUGUGUCUUGAUUUCAUACAAAAUUUAGGGCACACAUUUGUCUGAACCUUUCUUUUCUUCUUUUUCUCUUGCCAAAAAUAACUGUUUUUUUUUUUUUGCUGUAGAUAUCUGAUCCAGAGAAUUUUAUCUAUCUAUUGGUUUUCUUGGAGAUGGUUUUAAACAAUCUAUGUGCAAUAACAUAUUGGAGAAAUCACUUUAUUUUUCACAUUUAUGUAGUUCUUUUAAUUAUUUUCAUCACUCUUACAGUGAAAAAUAUUUCUGGUUUGUAGGAGUGUUAAACCAUACUGCUUGUAACCAAGAAGUGAAGCUUCAGAUUGUAAGAGGAAGGAGAGCUUUUAGGCUAUCUUCUUUCGGAGCGGAUGGCCAUGGAUGAAGAUUGUGCAACUGUAGAUGAGUUAUAUAACGAGCGAAUGAGAUCAUGGUAUUUCAGCAGACAAGAGAUUGAGAACAACUCUCCUUCAAGAAAAGACGGCAUUGAUCGAAGGAAGGAAUCAGAGCUUCGGAUGCUGUACUGUUCAUUUAUUGGGGAUGUUGGCAGGAGACUUAAAUUGUAUGUGCUUCCUCAUCAUUGAUUCACUUUUAACAUGCAAUGGGGCAAGUUAUGUUGUUUCUUCUGGGAGGAAUUUUCUGUUUUAUUCAUGACUUCUUGUAUAUACCAGGGGAUGUAGAUAACAUUUUCUUCAAUUCUAUCUGAUGUUCUUUAAGGAGCAAUAUGUGAAGUUAACAGUCUAAAUGGCAGUGGUAAUAUCUUGGUGCUUAGAUUUGCUUUGAUAUUACUAUCUUUGAGAGGUUUUAGAACUUUCAGAAAAAAAUUGGGAAGUAAUGCAUAUUCCAGUGAUCUGUAUUUACUUUUUUCUAGUAUAUACGUUGGCAAGAAAUGAGUUCCUUUUUCCCCACAUUGGGGUAACCUAUUCAUCUUUCUGGUUUCUGCUAUGCAACCAUCCAGUUGUCCUCUUCUCAGUAGAUUGAACGCCACUUUUCGUGCUUAUAGGCUUGGUUCCUCUUCUUUUUUUUUUUGGGAAAAUAAAGUUGUACAUUAUUCUUUGUUUUCAUCUGCUCAGUGACCGUUUUUUACAUUAAUAAAUUUAUACUUUGUCUAUCAGCUUUAUUCAGAUAAUCAAUUUUCCAAUAUAUGCAUUUUUCUUCAUCUUUAUGAGCUAUCCUGUAUUGGCUGGAUAUUGAAUGGAUUGCUUUUAAGAGCUAUUCGUAAGCAUACUUUAUCAUUAUGUCGAUGAUGUCUUAUGGGAAGCGAGCAUGUCUUCUUUUUUCUUUUUGUACGAGAAUGCUAAUUGUUCAAUUUACCUUGCAGACCUCAGAUUUCGAUUGCAACGGCAAUAAUGUUUUGUCAUCGCUUCUAUCUCCAUCAGUCUCACGCAAAAAAUGAGUGGCAGGUGUGUAGCAUCAUACGUUCAUUUUUAUGUUAUUCUCCUGCAAUUCUUAUACAAAAUCCUCAUAAUUAAAUUGAUCAAAGGUUUGAAUUUGAUCUUUGGUUUUGCUGUCGUGGCCAAAAUACUAAGUUAUCAUAGUUUCUUACAUUCAUUUAGCUUUAUUACAUGGUUGAUGCUGGUCAUGUUUCUAGUUUAAAUUCUUAAAAGAAAUUCAUUGAACUGUGGAUGUAUUGUAAAGAUGCUUUCACUUGUUGGUCUCCCUUGGUAUGGUCAUUCCAUAGUUAUAGGCACAAAAGGAACUAGAAAACAUUUUACGUAGGACCUACAGGUGUUCAUUCAUGAUUGAAUAGAAUGCUAUUAUUUGCAUCUCAUCUUGUCUGUAGAAGGUAUAGAGAGAAUGGGGUAUGUUUGGUUUGUGUUUGUGUAUUUUACAUGUGCUAAUCAAUCAAAACUCGAGUGUUUUAUGUGCCCAGCAGAGGUAAAGUUAUGGAAAAAAAAGUCAAAUAUUGGGAAUUCUUAAUUAUUUUGAUUUUUUUCUCGAAAUUUUAUUGUGUUUUGUCCCAUUUGAGCACUUUUGUUUCAUUACUAUUUCUUGAGAGAGAUAAAACCCAUCUCUGAUACUUGGCAUCAAAGCCAAGGUCUGGAAGGAGACUUUUAGAGCAACUAAACAUUUUUUCAACGAUAAAUUCCAGAGUGGUUGGAACUUGGAAAACAACUAAAAGAAUUGGUGCAUAAAAUUCAAAUCACUUUUUAUGAGCUGUGGAGGAAUCCAAGUUCUAAAAAAUAACUGAAGCAAGUAUUAACAAGGAGGCAUGAGACAUGCUUGCCACUCUUUUCAUGGAGAUGAACUUGUGAAGCAGAUUCUCCUUUAAAACGCGAUUUUAAAACAAUGCAUAUGGGAAGUACAAAUGUUUGCUGAGUGUAUGCUUGUAUAUUUGUCAUUGUCAACUAAAUAAGGAGAAGAAAAGAACAACUUGGCAAUUCUUGAGUUGUAGAGUACAUCCUUGCUCACAGAUAUUUGAACUGAUUGUAAUUGCCUUAAAAGGGCCAAGAGCGGAAGGGCAUUAGGUCCUUCUGUGGCCUACUGGCAAAAUCCACCUAGGUUCAUACGCAAAGUCAUAGGGUAUGGUGUAAGUUAUUCUUGAGCAAGCCUUGGAGUCAAAGUGAAAACUUCAUGAGUGAAGUGAUAAGAAGCCGAAGAUUAAGCAAUGGUGACAAAGGAGAUAACACGACAAUAAAGGCAGCCGUUGCCAAAACAAGAGACAACAUAGGAGGUAAAAUGGAGGAUGAGGAAAUCCCUUAGUAAAUGGAAAGGCAUCAUGGAGGAUCCUCGCAUGUCCUUUCCAAGCAUGACAUCCUUUGCUAUAAUUGCUAUAUGGCAUUAUAGUUGGAAAUGUUGAAAGGAGAUUGGAUAGAAGAAUAUCCAUACAAAUGGCAGCAUGGAAGAAAGUCAACUCAUCUACUCAUGUGACAAGAAAUAUACAGAGAAUUCAGAUGAUAUAUGGUUUCUUUCUGCCUCCCUGCUUUAAUUUGGUGAAAUGGAGCUUGCAGGGGAACAUCAAGUUUGUGGCUCAUCCAAAAUUCUUCUGAAGGGAAGAGAAAAAAGUCAUGAUCCAUUGAAGAACAACAGAACAGAACAAUAACUGUGAUGUGUAUUUUGUCUCAGAAUUGAAGAGCAACAUGCGCAUCAGGCAACUGCUUGAAAAUGGCAAUAUGAUCCACAUGAUUCAACAGUAGCCUUGAAGUUUGAGAGAGGGUGGUUUCAAAGGUGCAAAUGUCAAAGAAUCAAAAUAUUUCUAUCAACAUGGGGGGGCUGAAAGAUUGAGAAAUGCUUUUGAGCAUAUGUGAAGGCGUUGUCAAGGUUGUGUCAUUUGUGUCAAGAACACUUGAACUUAUGAAGCCUUGACACUAUUUUCUUAAAGAAUGGUUAAUUGACUAUUGUUGAGCAAUCACCCAUAACUAGUACGUGAAGAGUGCAUAGUUGGAAAGCAAACUCAACAACCUUUGACGAAUGGUAAUACACGGCUGACCUUAACAUUCUUCUACUCCGCUAGAUAUCUGUACUCAUUCUCACGAAUUAGCUUUAGGUUACUAGUAUUUUAUCGCAUUAAUAGAUACUAACAUUAGAUAGAUAUAUGUAUAUUUCGUUUGUAAAAAUUCGGCAAUCUUUUCUAUAUCCAAAAAGUUUAAGCUGUCAGCACAAUGGGGGAGAGUUACAUUUGUAGAAUUUGAGAUAGUGCAGAGGUGCAGGUUACAGCACAAGUGCUCUAGAUUGUUUUACAGCGAAAGCGGCAUUUGGCAACAAUUUGACUCAACAACAAACGGAGUUGCAGAACAAGAUAAUAGAAACACUUUAGGCAUGGAAAAAGUUAUGCUAAACAAGUAAAGCCCAUCAGAAUCAGAAUCAUUUGUGGUUUGCUUAAUGGAAGUUCAGACCAUGAGUGUGGAGGCAUAUGGUGUCACAAUGAGUGCGAAGCAGAUAUGAUCUGAGCAUCAAAACAAUCUGAGUGUAUUUGAGUGAAUUCACUGUUCUGAAAUAUAUAAGAAAGAAAAGUUUAGUUAGAUGUUCUACACAAGAAUGCACAUCUAUCAGGUAGGCUUAGUGAUCAAAAGCCUACAAACUCUAUAAUCUAGAGGCCGCCGAAGUUGAGAUUGGUGGAGAUAUUUUUUUUGGCAAAGAUGCUGCAUUCAUUAGGUGUCUGCCAUGUGAAAUGUGCAUUUGGAAAGAUGUCUUUACAAGGAGGUGGCGAUUCAUGUGUUUCUUUGCAUGAAGAAUUGAAAAGGGUAAAAUGAAGAGUUAACCACUGGGUUAUAAUAAUACUUUUACAUGCUUAUAAAAGGAAAUUCCAAGGCAUGAUAUGUAGAUAGUGCAUCUCUAAGUUCUACUGGAUUGGCUAGAAUAAAAAUCAUUGCUCAAAUAGCUUAAAAGAAAUUGUGUCUUUCAUUCUUUUGAGUGGCAUCUUAAUACAACUUUUGUUGUUACGUAUAUAUCAGGCAUUUUAUUUUUUAUUUUGCUCUGCUGAAUGAUUGCUAGUCCAAUCCUUUAUUUACUUAUAUCAUACGUAAAUAUUUUAGUAGUGAAUUAAAUUACUCUACAGUCACGUCUUUUUUCUGCAAUUUGGCUGUAAUUUUGCAAUACUAACUGUAGAAUUAGAUUUUUUUUUCCCCCUAAAAGUUUACCUUUUCUCUUUUUCUCCUGUCAGAUAUUGACCCUUUAUAGCUGACUAUAUACGAAUUUUGGGUCAGUCAAGGGUUUUCUAGGCUAUGAGAGGUUUUGGCAUAUAUCAGGAAAACAAAAACUACAUACUUCAUUUUGCCGAAUUCAAGUUUUCAGCAUUUUUGCUUGGAGAAUCUAUAGAGGGCUGUGACACAACUGGGAUUUGAGAUUUAUUUUAAGCGAACUAAACGAAACCGAAGGAUCCAUCUUUGUAAAUAACGCUUUUCUGUAAGUAUUGAAACCUAUAUCAUUAUUUGCUUUUCAGUUAAUUUAUAAGAAAGGCUCCUAGAAAUGUUGCUAUUUCCACUUUGCCACCCUGUAAUAUUGAAACCGAUAUCACUUUACCUCCUUCCGUCACAGUUCCCUCAGCGAUAUUUAUUAGUUUGCUUAUAGAUUAAUGGGGUAAAUUGGAGUUCUUAAUAUUUCAGGGGUGCCAACGUGAAUGCAGUGAUAUCUAUUGGAUUGUAUCUGCAUUACUUAUCUGCUUGUAAUUUUGAACUGUGUACUUGACAUUUCAAUCCGGAUUGUGCUUCUUUUAAAGAUCUUAUGGAUUGAAAUUAAUUGUUACAGUUAUAUCUCUUAGAAAUUACUUUUCCUAUUUUUAUUCAAUGUUUAUUUCUCAAUAUAAUUCAUUAUUUCCUAUAUUAAUACCCCUGUUUUUGGUUGUCUUCAGACCAUUGCAACAGUAUGCAUAUUUCUUGCGGCCAAGGUUGAAGACACCCCCUGUGCAUUGGACUCUGUUGUGAGGGUGGCCUAUGAAACUAUGUAUAGACGAGAUUCUACUGCUGCUCGAAGAAUUUCUCAAAAGGUACUAGAAACUUUUCAUUUCUCGUAUCAUUCAAGGUAAUACUGUACAGUGAUCUGGUCAAUUUACAUUUUGGGUUACAGCUUUAAACUUCUGUAAUAUUUUAUUUGAGAUAACAGCUUUGUCAGCUGCUAGAUUCUAGCUCUAACAAAACCUGCAGUUCCUUCAGCCAAAUGUUAUAUAAUGGAAUCCACAAUUCAUUUCAAGGAAAGACUCAGAUCAAAACAAACAAACAUUUAUGUUUUAAUUAAAACAGAAAAAGUUUUGAGGGGUCUUUUCCUAACGGCCUAUAGUUAAACGGAUCUUCGUACUUUCACGCAACUGCAACCGAGUCUUUGAAACUUCUCACAUAUAGAUUUUAGUCCCUGAACAUCUCGUUCCAUGGCAGGAUGUUUUUGAGAAGCAGAAGGCCUUGAUCUUGAUCGGGGAGAGAUUACUACUAUCCACUGUACGGUUCGAUUUCAACGUGCAGCAUCCAUACAAGCCGCUUCUUGAUGCUUUAAAUAAACUCAGGAUUACUCGCAAGGAUGUUCGACAAGUAGCGUGGAAUUUUGUGAAUGAUUGGUAUAUUUUAAAUUUUAAUUUUGUGCUUUUAUAUUUUUUACUGACCAUUCCUUUUCUUUUCUAGCAAAUUUAGCCUGUCUUUUAACUUUAGGACUAAUUAACCUUCACUAUAGUAGAAUGAUGCCCAAUUACGAUCAAAUCAUGCAGUGUAGGGGGGGAAUUUGGUCCUGAAUAUGGGAGUGGACUAAAUUCCCAAAGCGAAAAAAAUAAGUUCCUUAUUUUAAACUGCAAGAUUGGUUGUUUCUUUUUGUUUUCUUCCUUGUAAAAAGUCCCUUCUGUUUUAUAUCCCUUGACCUAACUUUAUGAUGCUUUGUGUAUUUUAGGCUCCGGAGUACACUGUGCCUGCAAUAUAAGCCCCAUUAUAUAGCGGCAGGGUCACUCUUCCUUGCUGCUAAGUUUCAUAAUGUCAAACUCCCUUCAGGAAGGGGGUAUGCAUGGUGGAAUGAGUUUGAUGUCAACCCUCGGCAGCUAGAAGGUGACUUUUUGCAAUUUUUUGGACUACAAAAUUGGGUUGAUUGCAACUUCACUCCUUGAAGUUUGACUGAUUUUCAAUUAAUGUCCUUAAAGAGUUUCAAUUUUUACGAUCUAGUCCCAAAAGUUUGUUUGGCGUGACACUUUAAACUCUUUCAUGAGUCUAGUUGCCACAUUCACAUCAUCUUUAGAGUUCAUUACCAGGAACUAAACGUUGGGACUAAGUUGUGGAAAUAAUUGCUCUGAGGUUCGAAUUGAUAUCGAAAUCAAACAUAAGGAAUUGGCUGAUUAACUCAAACUUCUGGACUAAAUUGCUGAAAUCAGUGCUCUGAGGUUCUAAUUGAUAUCGAGAGCGAACUUAUGUAAUGGACUGAUUAACCCAAAAAAUUGUUGAAGGUAAUUUCUUGCUUGAUAUCAUUUUGCAAUUUGAACUAGCUUGUAUAUACAAACAUGAUGUCUCACUUGGACUCGCGAAUCGUCUAACUUUUUGAUUGAAAGAUGUUGAAAUAAAAAAUUGUUUUUCCUGCAAUUUUAGAGUAGUUCAUGAAUGCGAAUGUCAUAAUGGUAAAUCGAGACUAACAGAAUUUUUUCUAUUUAUGCAGCUGCAAUCCGGGAAAUGAUGGAGCUAUAUGCUUCCAAGCAAAGAUCAGUGGCUACCCCGCAUCUUGAGAAGCCAAUUGUGGAAGCUCCGGCGGUGGAAAAGCAGCAGAUUUCUAGCAGCCCCGAUUCGGUUCUCAGUGCACCAGGCUUCUCCACCAGCAGUCCUAGCCACGAUUUAAACGGAGAAGAGGGUGGUUCACAAAGAGAUUUUGAAUGCUCGACAAGUAAUGCUGAGGUGGAAAAAGGGCUCAAUCAAGUCGACGUUUGCAGAAUUAAGGAGCUGAUGAAGAAGAGGAAAAGGCAGAGAGAAGUUUAUGGGAAAGCCGUUACUUCUGUCGACUGUAAUGAAGAAGAAGAUGCGUGGAUAGAGAGAGAAAUUGAAGGCGGCAUUAUUCUUGGAGCUGAAUCUCCUAGGAAGAAGCGAAAGCAGCUAUGAAAGAGAGAACAACUCAAAUCCAUACUGUAGCUAUAGAACAGAGCAUUGGAAUCUAUACGAGUUUUCUUUUUUCUUCCUUCCACUCUAAUUUAGGCGUGUAAUGUCAUAAAGGAGGCCACGGCAAUUUUCUUGGCACAUAGCUAUUUAGGUUCAUAUUCUUUCCCACCAAACUGAUAAUUUGUAAAAUAUUUGUCGUAAGUGGUGCAUUUAAUCUCAGGAAUUUACAUCAUUGUAACAUUUUGGGCCAUUUCAAUGAAAUUAUUAAGCCCUCUGCUCCUUCUAUUUCCAUUAAAGUUUUCGUAAAAAUUUCGGAACCAAUGUAGCAAUCAGAAGGCGCAGGCAUGUCUCUCUCUAUUGUUACAGUGUAUGUUCAUCACUUGUGCUUAUUUUUAUUUUCACAAAUUUGUGGGUUCGUAAUUAAUUGCUUGUGGUUUGGUUCUUCUUACGUCGAAAGUGACAAUUGUUAUGUAAAUUUCAUACCUUAUGAUCUUACAGUUAUAAAUAGGUGUAAAGUGCACCUGUAGACUCUUUGUUUACGACGAAUUGUAAUUUGGUGCCAAAUCCUUCCCUUUGUUCUUCCGUUCCCAAAUUUACCCAAGCUUUUGCAAUCUGGUCUCCAAGCCAAAAGUUUCUCCAUACGUUUUUACUCUAUUCAUAAUUUGUUUCCAUUUAUGCACAAGAAAUGAAGCAUGUGUUCCUAGCACAAAAUCCUCUUCUGGAGCUAAAUUGUGUAAGGAAUUCUCUGUGUAGAUUGAACCAAAGUUGAGAAAGCAUCCUUUGAUUAGGAGUUGAGAAUCCAUGAAGAAAUCAUAUUGUUGUAUCAUAUCCAUGCUUCAUAAGUUGGUUCACUGCAUGGUGGCUUCGCAAUUGAUCCGUCAAUGAAGCUAGAUUUAUUUUUAGCACUCAAGGCCAUUAACAUUGUCUGGCUCUACGUUGCAUAAUUCUCGCCACUAAGUGGUUGAGAUACCAAAGGGGUUCCUAGAUUAUCAGAGUGAUGAAGAUAAAAAAGGCUUGUGAUAUCAUCAUAUACCUUAGCAUUGGAGGAAGUAUUUGUGCUCCAUUGUAGUAGAUUACACAAAGGGAAUUGAAGAAGAGAUGAGGAAGUAAAAGAGCAUGGAACCUCAAACCUCAGCUCUCAUACCAUGUAAAAAUUGGAAAAAAACAUAAAAUAGAAGUUUGAUAGGAAAGAAGCAAAAAAAGACUUAACUAUUCAUUCAUAUACAUGAGUUUAUAUGAACGACAAGUAUAACAACUCAAGUAGUUGCAACAAAUAUUCAAACUAAUAAAUCCUAACUUAUCUCAACAGAUGAGAGAUUAAGUUAAUAGAUCUCUCAUCCGUUCUCAACAAAAUCUAUUGUUUCCGGGUAAAGAUCGAUUUAUUGAAAUCUUCUGUCAAGUUGAUUUCAAUAAUUUUUGUUGCUAGUUUCAUAUAGUUUCUUAUUUUUUCUUACCAAAGCAUGUUAGUUAUAUGCUCUGCUAUCUUUAAUUAGUGUUUUUAAUCGAGCUACUAGUUUUCAUCUAAAAUUAUAAAUUUAUUAUCUUUAUAGUAAAAAAUAAAUAGUAGUGUCUUAAAAAAAAAAAAAUUCUAUCAGUAUAGAAAAUACAAAAAUUUAUAGAAUAUAAUAAUAUUAGUAUGUGAUAUAAUUAAGCCUUUGUCAAACCAUAAAAUGACAAAUCUAAAAUAUGCGAAACCAAAGUUGACCUUUUUCUUCAUUUACGAAAUAAUGUGUGAAGCUCACGCGAAAAGGCAUAUUUCGUUAUCCAUUAAUAUUGUUGGCCUAUGCCGCUGUGCCACGUGUUCCUUUGACCAAUUCGUUGGAGUCAAAUACACGUCUGGCUUCAAAACAACGCGGUUUGCGUAGGGCUGGAAAAGAAUAUUUUUUAUAAAUAAUUCUAUCCAUUUUUAUAAUUAUAAAAAUAAUUUUUUUAAAAAAAUAAUUAUAAAAAUAGACCUUUAAAUGCGGUGAAUCAUUCACCGCAUUCAUAACUUCUAUUUAGCAGUAAAAAAAUAAUAAAAGCUGUGAAUCAUUCAUCGCUUUUACCAUCGUAGAAUUAAAGAAAAAGAAAGAAAGCGGUGAAUGGUUCACCGUUUUUAAAAGCGGUAAAUCAUUCACCGCUUUUAUGAGACUAUAUCUACAAAUAAAAUAUUAACAGAUUUAUUUUUAAAAUAAAAUUUUAGAAGAGGACUAUUGAACUAAAAACCCCGCUUUUUUCCAGACCCUGCUCACGUUUGGCUCCGUAUUCCGCUUGGUUCGGUACUUAAAAUGAGUCUAAGCUUGAACCCAAAAAAAAAAAAAAAAAAAAAAAAAAAGUCUUACAAUAGAUUUAUUUAAAAAGAUAUAAAGAUAAGAAUAAAAAUAUAAAAAUAAGAAUAGAAACCGGAGAAAUAGAUAUGUAUAGAAAUAAACUUUUAAAUAUCCUUUUCUCCAACAAAUAAUAUUUUUUUAAUUAAAUAUCUUUAUAUCAUUCGAUAUCUUUUUCUUUUACAGUAAAUAUUUAAAAUUAUCUCAAUUCUAUCCAUUAAUAUUUAGUUCUUAUAUUGACUUUUUAUUGAUUGCAAUAAUAAAAUCUUUGGCUGAUUAAAAUUUUUGGCUGAUUUUAUUAUAUUUAAGUGUCAUAACUUGUUGAAAUUUAUUUGCCAAUUGCUAUUAAUUUUGCCGAAUAAUAUUAAUUGCUUUAGAGAACUGAUAUUACCAAAACUCGCAUACUUUUAAACACUUCAGAGUAAAAAAUUGCUAUUAGUUUUAACAAAUCUCUAAAUUAUUUCAGAAAUAUAAUUUAAGUUAAAAUAGUGCCAAUAAAAGAAUAAAAUAGUUCACGGACCUAUUUAUUGACCGCCCCGAUUACAAAGUGGGAGACAAUAAGGAGAAAUGACAUAAAAUUAGACAAUGCAUCUAUACAUCUAAAAACUAGGUAUAAAUUUUACACCAACUAAAAUUUAUAUUCGUAAAUAUAGAUUUAUCGAAAUGUAUUUGUAAAUACAGAUUUAUAUACUGUCACGACAUGUAAGAGGUUAAUAUUAUGAAUUGACCGACCGUCCCUAGAGCAAGUGGCAAAGGACUUGGUGGUUGGUAUCCGAGACCCAAGUUUGAAUCCUAGUUGAUUCACAUCUCUUGCUAAGUUUAUUUUUAAGUGAAAUAAACGAAGCGGGUAGCGUGCUAUGUAUUGCCCCCAACAGUCCCACAUCGGAUGGGAUACUGAUUCCGAUCAGUUUAUAUGAGGCCUACACGCUAGUAAUAAUAACUAGACUUAAGCAUUUUGGGCCGGUGGUUUGGGCCCAACGAGUUAUUGUUGCUAGCGGGUCGGGUCGUUGCAGUGCUAUCUAUCUCUCUCUCAAAAAAAAAUAUUAUAUGAAUUGAAAGAAAUACAAUAAAUUAUUUAUUGCAUUCCGAACACAGUAAAUGAUUCAUCACAUUGUGCGUUUCAAUAGGUGGCGAACCAAUAUUAAAUGACAACAUAGAAACUAGUAAAUCAUUUAUCACAUUCUAAAUAAGCUAUAAAUGAUUCACCGUCUUUUUUAGGCUUCGCUGACAUAGUACAGACGUGGCUAACUUAGGUACAUUUUUAUAAAUAAGUUUUUAUAAAUUUACUCUUACAAAUUAAAAUUUUGUAAAAUUCAAGGCUAGUAUUUUUACACUAGUCUUAUACAUUUUUUUAUUAUUAAAAAUUUAGAAAAUGCGUUCAAAUCUUUGGAUGGAUGGAUGUAAGAUUUACAUCUGACUUUUGAUUCCACAACUAGCAUUUCUCUAUGAAACAUCACUUUAGAUUUUCUUUUUUUUUUUUUUGAGAGAGAGAGAGAGAAAGGCAGCAAGCUGUCUACUUUGUUGAUUUUUUUUUUUUUAGAAAUAAACUCAGUUGAAAAUAUAAAGCAAGUGAAUUUUAAAUUUAAAAUCUCGAAUACCAAUCAUCAAGCCUUUAGUCAACCUUACUAGUUAUGAUGGAUUUUCAAAUUUUAGAGGGAAACUUCUGUGGAUCCACCUCCAACCUCACAAAUUGCAGUUUCGAGUAGAUAAGCCCGCUGUAAAAAAAAAAAAUUUCCCCCCAAAAUACAUAUUUUGCGGUUGGACUUAUUAUAUGUGUAUUAAGUAACAAGCCAACUUUGACAAGGUAUUUGAAUUUUUUUUAAAAAAAAAAAUUAACUCUGAGAACGUUGAUUAUUUUGGUCCAAUUAAGGCCAAAAACUAUAUGGUCAUCGUUCAAUGAACUAGUCAACGAUUUUGACUCAUAACACCCCUUCAAUUUGAAGCUCCAACGCAAAAACAGAGAAAUUAAUUAUUAAUUAUAAGGCAUGAUUUUUUUGGAGUGGUAUUCACUUAUAUAAAAUAUAAUCAGGUUAAUUUGUAAAACCAUCAAACCCAAAACAAGUAGGAAUAAAUCACUACCGUCCAUUCUAAGUCUCUUGAUUUAGUUAUCGUCUUCAAUUUUCACUUAAAAAUUCUCCACAAGAUGAUCUCGAACCUUCUCUAAUCUUAAAUCGCAAUAUUAAUUAGACUGAUUUUAAGUCAAACUCAACUCAACUUGCUCAUCACAGCGCUAGAUCCCAGAACCUAAAUAGGGCAUUUAGGAACCUGACACUUUUCAAAGCGUGUCACAUUUUGGAACCUAAUUCCAGCGUUCUGAAACCUAAGUCAUUAAUCUAGCAUCCAUGCAUGCCUUCGUGUUCUAAAACCUAAGUCAAUAUUUUUGGAUACUUUUCUACUAAAUCUACAUUGGAGUUGUAAGAUGUUAGAGCCUCUUAACUUCUCGCAAUUUAUUGAGCUCAUGGGUUUGAUCAUCUAACUAGUUAAUUCCACUUGUAUAAGUUAUAAGUUACAUAAAUUACAAUAUAAAUUACAACAUGUAUAAAUUACAGUUACUUUAAACUGUAAAUUAUAGUUUACUCACAAUUUCAUCAAUUUUAUUUAAAAGAUAAAAUUUUGCGCACAAUUUACCAACUUUUCAGAUUACAAAGUAGCAACAUACAUUAUUUAUAGUCUACUCAAAAAUUUUUAAAUGACAAUAUACAUUGCAUAUAAUUUUCAUAAAUUUACUGUGUCACAUGAUAAUAUAUAUAUUACAUUAUUUUGAAAAAUAAAAAUUUAAAUAAAUAUAUAUGGAGAGAGAGAGCACUAGACUCCUAUAAUAUCUAUAGUAUUGCGGUUCCUUUUCAACUUUAAAAUAUUCAAAUCAACGAUCCACACCGUUAAAACUAAUAUAGGAUAUUUGGAGCUUUUAAGAAUAAAAUUUUAUAUUUUUUUGAUAUAGUUUACUUUAUAAUCAAAUCAUUCCAAAAUUGUCAAUUUUCAAAAGUUACUAUAGCGAGUUUGUAAUUUAAUGAUGUAGAAAAAUCUAAAUUUAUUCAAAUUUUAAUAGAAUAUAUUUUAAACUAUCUAGAUCAAGGUCAACAUNNNNNNNNNNNNNNNNNNNNUAUAUAUAUAUAUAUAUAUAUAGAAAGAGAGAGAGAGAGAGAGAGAAAGAGUCCAGCUACUAUUUUUUUAAAAGGAUAGAAUUCUUUAUUCUAUCAAACCAUUUUGGAUGAUCGGAACUCCAAAUUGAUAAACGACACCGUUCAAAUUGAAUUACACUAUCCAAAAUAUUUAAAAAUUAAAUUUUGUAAAUUUUGAAAUAUUAUCAAAUCCAUCGAAAAGUCAAAAAAUGAACGGUUAAAAAUAAAUAACCUUUUAAAAAUAAAGGUUAGACAUUUUCAAUUUAUGAUCAAAGUCACCAAACUUAUCUAAAUAGUAUAUAAAAAAAAAAUUUAUCAAAAAUUCAAACAGUUUGGGUUGCUCUACAUCAUUAAACAAGCAAAUCUCAUAUUGACCGCCAAAAACUAACACUUCUGUAUGUCUAAACAGGACAUAUUUCAAAAAACAAGUCAACUAAAAAAUCGGAUCUGGUUUAUUAAUUUUGGAUCCAUUACUUGGAACCCAAAAUCUUACUGAUCUGAUUAGUAGCAUUUUGAAAUGGAUGCUAUUUUGAGAUAUGACAGUAGAUGGGGAGUAAAUGAGGACUCGUUGGGAGCUCCCUAUUUAAGUUUCGUUGGAUUCGAUUAUAAGAAAAGCUUAUUCCAGAAAUAGGUAUAAGCAGGAGCUAAAUAAAUUUUGCAUUUGAAUGAAAAUUGAUUUGUUCACAGAAAUUAAAAAAAAAUAGCAUUUGACUAGUUAGAGUGGAAUAGUGAGAAAAAGAAUAAUUAUAGUUUUAAAAUUAUAAUAUUUUAUCUAAUUAAUUAACAUAAAAUAUGUAUUAAAAAUAAUUUAAUAAAUUAAUAAAUUUAUUAGCUAUGAAUAUUGUAAUAAAUUAAUAAAUAUUAUUAUUAGAUAAUUAUUUAUAUUAGUUAAAUUAAUUAAUUAUAAAAAAUAAGUUAUAUUUUUAAUUAGUUAGUAAAUUAUUUAAUUUGGAUAAUUAUGUAAAAAAUCUAAUUAAUUAAUAGAAAAUAUUAAUUAAAUAAUAAUUUGAGUUAUUUAAUUAACUAUUAGUAUUAAUCAAAAAUACUGCAAGAUAAACGUAAAUAUUAACUAUUAACUAAUAAAAUAAUGGGGAAACUUCAAAUACCCCUUGGUUUUGCACUUUCUCACUUUAGUACCCUGUGGUUUAAAGUGUAUCAAGUUAGUACCCUGUGGUGUCGCACUUUCUCACUUUAGUAUCUGUGGUUUCAAGUGUAUCAAGUUAGUACCUUGUGGUUUCGUACUUUCUCACUUUAGUACCCUGUGGUUUAAUACUUCGUUAAAUUAUAUACCCUGAAAUGGAUAAUUAAAAAAAAAUUGAAACCACAGGGUACUAACUUGAUACAAAAAUAAAAUCACGGGGUACUAACUUGAUACACUUGAAAACAUAUAGUACUAUAGUGAGAAAGUGCAAAAUUACAGGGUGCUAAAUGGAUACACUUUAAACUAUAGGGUACUAAAGUGAGAAAGUGCGAAACCACACUUAGCUGGAAAUGUGANCACAGGGUACUAAAGUGAGAAAGUGCGAAACCACAGGGGUAUUUAAAGUUUCCCUUUAAAAUAAAUAUAAUUUUAGUUAUUUUAAUUAAUCUAAUAUUUGACCAAUCUAAUUAUUCUAUUAACUAUGGUUAAUUAAAUUAUUAAUUAAUAGUAUAUAUUAUUAAUUAUUUUUGGGAAACUUCAAAUACCUCCCAGUGGUUUCGCUCUUUCUCACUUUAGUAUUCUGUGGUUUAAAGUGUAUCAAGUUAGUACCCGUGGUUUCGCACUUUCUCACUUUAGAACCCUGUGGUUUCAAGUGUAUCAAGUUAGUGCUAUGUGGUUUCGCACUUUCUCACUUUAGUACCCGUGGUUUAAUAUUUCGUUAAAUUAUAUACCCCGAAAUGGAUAAUAAAAAGAGAAAAUUGAAACCACAGGAUACUAACUUGAUACAAAAAUGAAACCACAAGGUACUAAAGUGAGAAAGUGCGAAACUAUAGGGUACUAACUUGAUACAUUUUAAACCACAUGAUAUUAAAGUGAGAAAGUGCAAAACCACGGAGGUAUCUGAAGUUUUCCCUUAUUUUAACUUAGUUCUUAAGUUGGAACAAGCUUGUUCUCCAAAAAUGCUGGAAUAACAGUUUUAGACUUAUAUCGACUUAUUCUCUAAAAUCAAAACUGCUAUUUUCGGGCUUCCCAAGUGAUGUUUGGGUAUAAGUAGGAGAAUAAGAGUUUAUUCCCUCGCUUGUUUUCCGACCAAACACCACCUUAAAUUCUCUUGCGUGAAUGUGUUUUUUGGGUUUUCAUUCUAGAAUUUAUGCUUGAUGGAGCUUAAAUGAGGUUAAAACUAUACUAUCCUAAUAUGCCGUCUUCAAAAUUAAAGAAAAAAUUAUAACGGAAGAGAUCAGUUUGAGAUAAAACUAAAAUGUAAAUUUAAUAUAAGUUUAAAUUUUUUAUAUAGAAAGGUGUUUAAGCCAUACGCUAAAAUAUAGAUUUAUUUUAUAAUCAAUCCUUUUAUUAUCAAUCAAAGGAUUUAUGUUAUAUAUAUAAGAUUUAUUUUAAAUUUUUUCUAUAUAGAUUUAUUUUAAAAUAUCAAAUUGAUUUAUUUUAUAGAAAGGAUUUAUUUUAUAAUCAAUCCUUUUAAUUAUCAAUCAAUUUCAUAACGUUCAAAAAUAUGACGUCGCGGUCAUUCGAAGACGUUAUUUAUUAGCCGUUGCGCUGGACCAUAUCAUUACCUGCUGCCUCUACCAACAAAUAAUAUAAUUUAAUUUAAAAUACGUUAAUAAUUAAAUAAUUCGCUCAGAAACAAAGAAUGCAUAACGCCAAUAGAAAUAUGCGUAGACCGAGUCUACUACAGGACUGAUUUUGUGAUGACGUGGCGGGAUAGCAAUGGUUGGUUUUUUUAAGAUUUAUAGACUGCGGCUACGAAAAAAAUUCCUACGCCGGCGGGGGCCCGUAAUUGGGACGCGCCACGUGGCACGGUACAGAGAAGGGUACAGAGAAGUGGGGCCCACGCCGCUAGUAGAAUAAUUCUCCCACUGAUUUAAUAAUGAUUGGAGUUCAAAAUAAUUUGUAAGAAUUAAAAGCUUGUAUAAAAAUUAAAUUUAAAAAUAACCAAAAAAAAUCCUCCGAUUUCUCCGCCGAGGAAUCGGCAACCCGGCGAUUUUUUACUUUUCCUCUUCUUUUAUCCCUUUCCUACGAAUCUCUCUCUCCUCUCUCUCCUCUCUCCUCUCCUCUCUCCUCUCUCCUCUCUCUACGAGCUCGCGACAACUACCCCGAGCUCUUGCAGCAGCCGCCUCCGCCGCCGCGCGCCACCUCGAUCCGCCUCUCGCGGCGAUCGUUUCGAGGUACUCCGAUCUCCAUCUCAUAUGCAUGUCGAUGUUCGAUCCGUUGGUUUUUCUAGGGUUUUUUUAGGGUUUCUGAUGGGAAUGCAGCUUCCUCUAGGUGAUCCGUAUCGCGAUCUCGCAAAUCCCGAGGAUCCGAGCCUGUUCCCGUCGCGUCGGUGGUCGGAUCGCCGUUCGGACAUGUCGGGCCCCCUCGAUCGCUUCGCGAGGCCUUGUGAGUUUUGGCACAAACCCUAGCUGGAUUUCGAUUCCUUUUUUGUGUUUUGAUUUGCUUCGUUUGAGAUAAUUAGGGUUUAAUCCGGUUAAUUUCUCAGAAAUUUAGGUUUGUUUGGUAGUUUUUAGGGGGUUUACUUUUCUUUUUUCGGCUGAAUUUGGUCAUGGAAUUGUGCUUUCUAAGGAAUGUUCUCUUGCGUUAUCCACUGCGAUCCACUUAUAUUUCUUUUAGGAUUAUCAUGGAACAGCUGGUUUAGUGCAGUAUAAUAAACAAAAAUGUAUUAAUCUGUAUUAAAAUUAGAUUUGAUACAGAUGUAGUUCUUUGUUUAUUCUUGCCCUAACCAUGCAUUUGAUGCGUUUUCAAAUAUCCACUUAAUGAUUUUCAAAGCGCAUGCAUGGGUAUUCUUCUAGUAUUUGAUUUUUGGGCCAGCUAAUGUUGAGGUUGCAGUUGAUUAUUAUAUAUUUAUUCCCCUUGUUGAUUCUUUUAUUUGAGCUAAUAAUCUUUGUUAACAUUACAAACACAUUGUAAGAAAAUUGAUAAUCUGGCUAGCAAUUUUAUUGAAGGGGAUUUGGUGUAGUUGAACCUGUCAAAUUUGAUUUACGAUUACAAAAUUAGGGACUUGCCAUAAUUUGAACAGUUCCUAUGUGGACCAUCCUGGAUAUUUCAAACUGUAUGUGACUGACAGAACAAAGUGUAUCCUUAUACAUUUUUGUGUUCUUUAAGAUAAUAUUUUAACAAUCUUGAUUUUCAUUUGUCUGUUUGGACAUCUAUACUGAAUAAUUGGUUAACGACUGCAAUUUAUGGGGCAUUUGGAGCCCUCCUUUUCUAUCUAAGCACUAGCUAGGUUAGCCCUCUGCAUUAAAGAUGGGGACUUAUCUAUAUUUUUUUUUUUUGAGCUGAUUACUGACAAUAAAAUUGCAUGUGCUUGAUAUGUCUGUCGUGAUUUUAGUGUAGCUAAUUUGGUGUCCCUCAAAAUGAAUCAUGUUUAGAUAUUUGAAGCUCUUCUUGUUGCACAUUUUAUACAUAAAUUCUUCGAAAGUCACAAAUCCUCCCAACAUGAGAAGAUGCCAAAUGAACCUUUUGUUGCUCCAAGCCUUAACUGUCAACUUAGGGGAGGUUUUCAGGGAUGCCUCAGGAAUUUCUUUUUUUCUUCAUUAAGCUUCGCUAAUUUCUUCGGAGUUGCAUUUCUAUGCAAGCUAUGUCGUCGGCAGUCUGUAUGAUGGUAUUGGACAAGAGAUGUGAUGUUAGUUUUCUUGUAAAUUGACCCUGAAGUACAUUGAUUUUUUAAAUUUUUUUUGUUCACUUAGUUUCGGAAAAAAAAUGUUGGCCUUAAUUCACUUUCUGUCAUCUGAACUUUGUCUAAAGAUAAAAGUGUGCUCUAUGCACACGUUCUUGUUGCCUUUCUGAGAGCUUGUUGCAUCAUUAUAAUUCAGAGAUCUGUAGUAUUAUUAUUUUGUUCAAUUGAACUGCAAUGAUUUCUUUGUUUUAGGUUUUGAGGGGUUUUCAAGUCAUGAUGAACGAAGAGAACGCAAGUCAGACGUCGAGAACUCGGAAGAUGAGAGGAGGACGAGAAUCGGCUCCCUAAAGAAGAAAGCCAUAAAUGCUUCGACUAAGUUCAGGCACUCUCUAAAGAAAAAGAACAGAAGGAAGAGUGAAAGUCGAGUCGUCUCAAUAGAAGAUGUUCGGGAUAUUGAAGAGCUACAAGCUGUUGACGCAUUUCGCCAGUCACUACUUUUGGAUGAAUUGCUUCCUGCAAAGCAUGAUGAUUAUCACAUGAUGUUGAGGUAACUCAAGAUUUCUUUUUUUCAAUACUUUGAAUGUGUAAGUUAUGCUUGAGAUAUUUCAAUUCGUACCUGCUAAAUUAUCUUUUUACAUCAAUGCCCUUUGUAAAAUUUGAAGAAAAUUAAUUUCUUAAAUGCAUACUAACAAAGUAUUUACCUCUUUAAAAACCUUUUAUAUUGCAAAACCGGCUUUUCCCCUUGAUUCAGAUGACCCCCCCACUUAAGAUAUGGUUUUUAUGUAAGUAAAUUCACUUUUGAAGGGCAUAUAUGAACAUUAAGAUUUUACAAGGGGUUUUUAAUAGAAAUAUGAUUUUGCUGGAAUACAUAUUUAGAAAUUCAACCAUGUUUUGUCUUGUUCGCUUUUUUGUGGAAACCAACACCUAUAUGCAGCUGAGCUUAAGACACAAGAGCCUUUGAUAAGUUGGUUAAGCAAGACGUGGGAAAAAAUAACUUGUUAUUUAAAUGGUCAGAGAGGAUUAUGGCUGGUUUAGCUUAUGUUUUUGUGGUAAAAACUAAUAGCAUAUGGAAUUAAUGCUUGCUAUCAUAGUGUCUAAAUUGAAAAAGUUGUGGGCAACUAAUGAUUAGUUCCUUUUCUUAUCCUUUUUGCCUUUCACUUCUGCUUGAAGUAGAGCAAGCAACCCACUCUAAAAUUUUCCUAUUACUGAUCCCCUUUUGGUCUUGGAUUUCUUCCAUAUUGAGAGUAACAUAUAGAGCCAAGUAAGCAACUUACUCACCUUAUCGUAGUAUAUGUAGACUGCUUUCACCUGAGCAGAAACAUGGCAAUGACGGUGCACCUAUACCUACUUCGGUGCUUCCAUUAAGAUUUAGACUUUUGAUGAGUGCAUCCACCACCUUUUACUCUAUUAUUUACUGCACAAGCUUCCUUCAAAUAGAAAUUUAUUGUGCCUAUAUAAUAUACUGAUGUUGCUAUAACAUGAUGUUCUAUCUCAUCUGCCUUUUCUAAUAGCUUGUUUUAUGGUUUGGCUGAAAGUAGUGCACACAUAGUACAAUGAAGUUCUUCUUCUUCUAAUAGCUUGUUUUAUGGUUUGGUGGAAAGCUGUGCAUACACAGUACAAUGCUCUCCUACGAUCUUAUAUGCAACCUUAACUCUUUGAGGUUUUAUUGGAAGAUGAAACCAAUUGAACCUGCAAAUUCCAUUGUAGGAUUUUUUAUUUUUUAUUUUAAUUUUUUUUUUUUUGGGUUAAGUAGUUGGAAAAGGGGAUAGCACAUUUGUUAGUGUUCUGAUUCUUUCAAUUUUAUAAUCUACUGCCUGGCCUCUCCUUUUACGACAUCAAUUAUGCAGCCAUAUUUUGUCCCUUAUUACCUUCACAGAUCAAGGCACCUUGUAUUCAGGUCUUGUUUGGUUUGGCUGAAGCUUCUGCAAUUGCAGCUUGUCUAUAGCAUUUUGAAGAAACAUUAAUAACUUUUGUAUUAAAUCCUUUUUAGUAAGUGGAGUUUCAUUUUGGAGCUUCUAAUUCUGCGGCCCAAAAGUUCAUUUUAGCGUUCUUUUGCAACAUUCAAAGUUCACACCUCCUAGCCUUCUGUUUGCCAAACUCCUGGCUUCUAAAAUUUGUGCUUUCUAUAAUAAAGAAGCUACUCCCAAAACUAUUCCGAACUGCUGAACUGUGAGGGAGAUAGGAGUGCAAAUCAUAUUUUAAUGCAUUGGUAAGAAAAGAAAAAGACAUGAUAACAUAAGAGUGUGAAAUUAGAGGUGAUCCCCUAAAUGAAUACCAGUAUUUGGUCGCUCAAUUUUCAAACAUUGUGAGGAUAUUCUAACUUUAUUUUGUCAAAAGAAAGUUUAUUAAAUGCUCCUAUAAUUAAACAUAUUUAUUCGAUAUUAAAGCACUACUUGUUUUCCAAAAUAACUGUAUUUUGAUGUCUUACGUCAUUUCUGCCUAUAGAUUUUUGAAAGCAAGGAAAUUCGAUAUUGAGAAAGCGAAGCACAUGUGGGCUGAUAUGCUUCAAUGGAGGAAGGAGUAUGGUACUGAUACUAUCGUAGAGGUACUUUUGUAAUUCCUUCAAUCAUCUUUCAGAAGAUCCAUGGAUGUUGAUAAAUAUUAAAUAUCAAAAGUAGAACUAUUACUUCGAAAAUAGGUAACUCUUUUCUUUUCUAUUAUUUCUAAAACUAGCUGCCAUUUGAGAAUUACUUCUCCUAAUCGAGGGAAAUGUUAUUAAACUUGGCUAUCUCCGGCAAACUCCCGUAUCAAUCAUUGUAGUUUGCUGAGUCUUGGUUCAUGUUACAUCCUAUAAAAGUGUCUGAUCAAAGUUUGCACAUUCUUUUUCAAAUUUCCAAUUUGAAAUGAAGAUAACAUUUGAAAUUUAAAUUCGUUUAUUAAUGUUUUUUUUAAUUGUAGAAUACUGAGUCAACGCAUUCCAACAAUUUUGUUUACAAGGACAAUCAAUUACAUAUCAUCUAAUUGGUUUAUUGUUAGUUUAUUAUUCUAAAAUAUCCAUAAAGAUAUUUAAGGGUCGACAAUGGUUUGCUUCUGGUUGGUUUGUCGGGGGGAAACUAAUUCACCAUGUUCAGCCACUUAAGUGAAUCUGAACCAAAACCGAACUGUAAUAGACUAAGACUGAACCAAAACAGAACUGAAAAAGUCGGUUUGAUCUAGUUCAUUUUGCCUGCUCUCUGAUCUUUGGAUAUAAUGUGCUGUCAGCUGUCAGCUUCUAUUGCGACUGCGGAAGUAGCACAAUGGUAGAUAUCGUGCUGUUUCGUUUGGAGGUUCAGGCUGGAAACUUGUUUGAUUUGCUUCUUGAACUUUUUUUAUGCAUUUUACUAGAACAUUACAUGAAACUGGACUACUUUUGGUAAUCACUAAAAUUAAACUGGAAAAUAGUCCAUGUCUUAUCUACUGUCUUUUUUGGUAUGAUUUUGUUACUGAAGUACCCAAACCGACUGGAUUUUUCGGUUUGAAAUUUUCUGUUUUCAUCCUAUGGCUCAACCAGUUAUUAGAAAUUUUGAUUCCUAUGGUUUGGUAUGGUUGAUGCCCUUAGUAAAUAUAUCUAUCUACCUCCUUUCAGUUUAUGAUAACAGUUUCAAUAAUAACAGAGUUGAUUGUUUUUUAACUUUUAUUUCUGAACAGGAUUUUGAGUACACUGAGUUGAGUGAAGUUCUACAGUACUAUCCUCAUGGUUACCAUGGGGUGGACAAAGAGGGGAGGCCUGUUUAUAUUGAAAGGCUGGGAAAAGUCGACCCGAACAAGCUUAUGCAAGUGACAACUAUGGAUAGAUACGUAAGAUACCACGUAAGGGAGUUUGAGAGAAGCUUCUCAAUCAAGUUCCCGGCAUGUUCAAUCGCUGCAAAAAAGCAUAUCGAUUCAAGUACAACUAUUCUAGAUGUUCAAGGCGUGGUAUGUUGUGCUACAUAUAUAUGCACCAUUGCAAAAAAAUAAAGCUUUGUUUGUAUGGCUUACGCAUAUAUAUAUAUAUAUAUAUAGAAUUGAGCUUCUAUGCUUUUAAAAGUACCAAGUUAUUGGUGCUUGUAGAUUUUUAGCCAUUGGAUUAAGAAAUAUGCGGUUAGGAUGAUGUGGGCCCCCUAGGGUUGAGUGGGUGGUUGGUUGAAUAGUAUAAUCUAAUGGUUGAAAAUGAUCCGAGGUAGAUCUAACGGUAAAAAACUUACAAGCACUAAGUGCUUGGUGCUUUUACAAGCACCAUAGUUGGACUCUAUAUAUAUAUAUAUAUAUAUAUAUAUAUAUAUAUAUAUAUAUAUAUAUAUAUUACAUUUGUGUAUAUAUAUAUAUAGAGUCCGGCUACUAUGCUAUUAAUAGCACGAAGCACUUGGUGCUACCAAGUUUUCCGCCGUUAGAUCUACCCUUUUGAUCAUUUUCAUCCGUUAGAUCAUACUAUUCAACCAAUCACCCACUCAACCCUAGGGGGCCCACAUCAUCCUAACCGCACAUCUCUUAAUCCAAUGGCCAAAAACUUGGUAGCACCAAUAACUUGGUGCUAUUAAUAGUAUAUUAGCCUAGUUCUAUAGGAGUCCGGUUACUAUGCUAUUAAUAGCACGAUGCACUUGAGAGAUGGAUAGCACGUUAUCCGCUUUAUUUUAUUUCNUUAUCUAGAGCAUUUGAAACAUCUAGAAAUCAAAUUUCAUAAUUUUUCGACAUCAUUUACCUUACGAUCAAAAGCUCACAAAAUUGACUAUUUUUAACGGCCGGUAUGGAAUACUUGCUAGUUUAAUAGUGCAAAAGAAUCCGAAUAGGUUGAAUUUUUGAUAGAAAAUUCUAUUCACUACCUCGAUAAAGAUCAAUAACUCCGAUCUUAAAUUGAAGGAUUCGAUCAUCCAUUUUUAAGACAUCGUUCGAUUUUGACCGUUCAUUUUAUGCUUGCUUGAUGGACUUUAUUAUGAUUUCGAAAAAUUACGAAAUUUAUUUUUUAGAAGUUUCAAAUACUCUAGAUCAUGUUUAACGGAGUGGAUCGUCAAUUCGGAAGCUCCAUCAUCGAAAACAACUUAUGAGUACGAAGGGCCCAAUACUCAUAAUAGUAUAGUAGCCCUACUCUCUCUCUCUCUCUCUCUCUCUCUAUAUAUAUAUAUAUAUAUAUAUAGAGUCCGGCUACUAUACUGUUGUGAGUACGAUCGCCUUCGUACUCAUAAAUCGUUUUCGAUUAUAAAGUUUCCGAAUCGACGAUCCAUACCGUUAAACGUCAUCUAGAGCAUUUAAAACUUCUAGAAAUCAAAUUUUAUAAUACUUUGACAUCAUUUACCUUACGAUCAAAAAAUCUCAAAAUUGAUAAUUUUUAAUGGUCGGUAUAGGAUACUUGCUAGUUUAACAAUGUAAAAGAAUCGGAAUUGGUUGAAUUUUUGAUAAAAAAAAUUUAUUCACUAUCUAGAUAAAGAUCAAUAACUCCGAUCUUAAAUUGAAGGAUCCGAUCAUCCAUUUUUAGGACGUCGUUCGAUUUUGACCAUUCAUUUUAUGCCCGCUUGAUGGACUUUAUUAUGAUUUCGAAAAAUUAUGAAAUUUAUUUUUUAGAAGUUUCAAAUACGCUACAUCAUAUUUAACGGAGUGGAUCCUCGAUUUGGAAGCUCCAUUAUGGAAAACAACUCUAUACUCAUAAGAGUAUAGUAGCUCUACUCUCUUUCUCUCUCUAUCUAUCUAUCUAUAUAUAUAAAUAUAUUAUAGGCUAGGGUUACUAUACUUUUAUGAGUAUAAAUCCCUUUGUACUCAUAGGUUUUCGACUGUUGGAUGAAGGGAUAUGCGGUUAAGAUGAUAGUGGUCGCCGAUUAGGAUGAUAGUGGAUCCCUCGGAUUGAGUAGGUGGUUGGUUGGUUGAAUAGUAUGAUCUAAUGGGUGGAAAUGGUCAAAAUGGUAGAUGUAAUAGCUGAAAAUUUAUAAGUAUAAAGGGGUCUAUGCUCUAUACUCAUAAGAGUAUAGUAGUUGGACUCUAUAUUAUGUGUCUAUAUAUAUAUAUAUAUAUAUACGAGUUGAGCUGGAAUACUAUUAAUAGUAUUUGGGCUAUUUUACUAUCGAUUUUUUAGCCGUUAGAUCUACACUUUGAUCAAUUUCAUCCUUUAGAUCAUACUAUUCAACUAAGCACCUACUCAACCCUAGGGGGACCACUACUAAACCCUAGGGGAUGACUAUUAUCCUAACACUACAAUUUUUUUAUCUAAAUGUUAAAAACUGGAUAGCAAAAAAGGUCAAAUACUAUUAAUAGUAUUCUAGCCCAAUUCUGUAUAUAUAUAUAGGGUAAAGUUCAAAUACCAGCAUUGUAGUUUCGCACUUUCUCACUUUAGUACCCUGUGGUUUAAAGUGUAUCAAGUUAGUGUCAUGUGGUUUCAUUUUUAUCUUUCGUCAGCUUUUCCGUUAAUAUUUUGUUAAAUUAUAUAUAAAAAAUUUCAGAUUCCCCACCUAGGUUUAUCAAAUAUUCACUUUAGUACUCUUUAGUUUUAACUUUGUCACUGAUUUAACAACAAAAAUUAGUGAAAUCGAUAAUAAAAAGAUAAAAAUGAAACUGCAGGGCACUAAAUUGAUACACUUUAAACCACAGGGUACUAAAGUGAGAAAGUGUGAAACCAUAGGGGUGGUAUUUGAAGUUUUCUCAUAUAUAUAUAUAUAUUACAUAUAUGAGUUAGGCUGGUAUACUAUCGGUAGCACGAAGAUCUACAUACUACCAAGUUGUUUUCAAUGAUGUAGCUCCCAAAUCAACGAUCGACUCCGUUAGACUUUAUUUGCAUUAUCGAAAGUAUUUGGAAACUAAAUUUCAAAUUUCGACAUCAUUUACCUAGUCUAAAAAUGAAUGCCUAGAAAUAAAAAUCUCAUAAAAGAUGAUGAUAAAAGACUUGAAUUUAAUAUCAGAGGUAUUGAUCUUACACUAAAUAGUGAAAAAAUUUUCUAUAAAAAUUUCAUCAGAUUUGGAUUAUUUUACACCGUUAAAUUCACAAACGCAUCACAUCGACCAUUAAAAUUGUCAAUUUUGAGACCUUUUGAUCAUUAGCCAAAUGAUGUCGAAAAUUAUAAAAUUUAGUUUUCAAAUACUUUUAAUAGUGUAGAUCAAGUCUAACGAAGCCGAUCGUCGAUUUGGAAGCUGCAUCAUUGGAAACAUCUUGAUAGUACGGAGGCCUCCGUGCUAUCGAUAGUAUACCAGUCUAGCUAUAUAUAUAGUAUAUAUAUAGAGAGAGAAGGCUGCUAUACUCUUAUGAGAAUAGAGCCCUUCGUACUCAUAAGUUGUUUUUGAUGAUAGAGCUUCUGAAUAGAUGUUCUACUCCGUUAAAUAUGAUUUAGAGUGUUUAAAACUUUUAAAAAAUAAAUUUCAUAAUUUUUCGAAAUCAUAAUAAAGUCCACCAAGCGGGCAUAAAAUGAACGGUCAAAAUCGAACGAUGUCCUAAAAAUGGAUGAUCGGAUCCUCCAAUUUAAGAUCGGAGUUAUUUAUCUUUAUCUAGAUAGUGAAUAGAAUUUUCUAUCAAAAAUUCAACUGAUUUCGCUUUUUUUACAUUGUUAAACUAGCAAGAAUCCCGUACCGGUCGUUAAUAUAUAUAUAUAUAUAUAUAUAUAUAUAUAGAGCUAGGUUGCUAUACUAUCAAUAGCACAGAGACCUUCGUGCUACUAAGUUGUUUUCAAUGAUGUGGCUUCCAAAUCGACGAUCGGCUCCGUUAGACUUGAUCUACACUAUUAAAAGUAUUUGGAAACUAAAUUUUAUAAUUUUUCGAUAUCAUUUGGCUAGUGAUCAAAAGGUCUCAAAAUUGACAAUUUUAAUGAUCGAUUUGAUGCGUUUGUGAAUUUAACAGUGUAAAACAAUCCAAAUCUGAUGAAAUUUUUAUAGAAAAUUCUUUUCACUAUUUAGAGUAAGAUCAGUACCUUUGAUCUUAAAUUCAAGUCUUUUAUCACCAUUUUUUAUGAUAAUUUUAUUUUUAGCCNUUUUUUUACCGUUAGAUCUACGCCUUUGAUCAUUUUCAACCGUUAGAUUAUACUAUUCAACCAACCACCCACUCAACCCUAGGGGGAUCACAUCAUCCUAACCGCACAUUUCUUAAUCCAAUGACCAAAAAUUUACAAGCACCGAUAACUUGAUACUUUUAAAGCAUAGGAGCUCAAUUCUGUAUAUAUAUAUAGAGAGAGCAGGACUGCUGUGCUCUUAGGAGCACGGAGGCCUCCGUGCUCCUGAGCCGUUUUCGAUGAUGGAAUUUCCGAAUCAACGAUCGUCUCCGUUAGGCUUGAUCUAGCGUAUUUGAAGUUUCUAGAAAAUAAUUUUUGCGAUUUUUCGAUAUUAUUAACCUAGCAAUCGAAAGGAUUCAAAAUCAAUAAUUUUUAACGUCUGAAAAUAAAAAUCCUAUAAAAAGUGAUGAUGUAGCACUAAAAUUUUCGAUCAAAAAUAUUGAUUUUGUUGUAGAUAGUAUAAAGAAUUUUGUAUCAAAAUUUCAUUUGAUUUGAAUACUUCUACACCGUUAAACUUGAAAACGGCAGAUAUCAACCAUUAAAAAUUAUUGAUUUUGAAUCCUUUCGAUCACUAGGUAAAUGAUAUGAAAAAAACACAAAAAUUAUUUUCUAGAAACUUCAAAUACCCUAGAUCAAGUCUAACGGAGCCGAUCGUCGAUUUGAAAAUUCCAUCAUUGAAAACGGCUCAGGAGCACGGAGGCCUCCGUGCUCCUGAGAGCACAGCAGCCCUGCUCUCUCUAUAUAUAUAUACAGAAUUGAGCUCCUAUGCUUUAAAAGUAUCAAGUUAUCGGUGCUUGUAAAUUUUUGGUCAUUGGAUUAAGAAAUGUGCGGUUAGGAUGAUGUGAUCCCCCUAGGGUUGAGUGGGUGGUUGGUUGAAUAGUAUAAUCUAACGGUUGAAAAUGAUCAAAGGCGUAGAUCUAACGGUAAAAAAAUUUAUAAGCACCAAGUGCUUGGUGCUUUUACAAGCACCAUAGCCGUACUCAUAUAUAUAUAUAUAUAUAUGUAUAUAUAUAUAUAUAUAUAUAUAUGUGUAUAUAUAUAUAUAUAUAUGUGUAUAUAUAUAUAUAUAUAUAUAUAUAUAUAUAUAUAUAUAUAUGUGUGUAUGUAUGUAUGUAUGUAUGUACUUGCAAAUAGUCGUAAAAUCUGAAAUUUCAUCUAUAAUCCUUGAAAGAUGCAUUUUUUUUCAUUCUUAAAUAUUUGGUCGGGAAGUCAUGUGUUAGUAGUAUUCUUAUGAAAGAAGGUUCAAUGGGCGUUUUUGUAUGUACAAGGGUAUUUAUAUGUACCGAAUAUUUAUUUUUUUGAAGAACCCAUGUAAAAUCAAAUUUGCAAGGCGAUAUAUUUAAAUAGAUAAUUUCCAUGCUAUACAUGUAAAUUUCUCUUUUUUCGUGUGUGCCUUCUAUAAUUUUUGUGUGCCCUGUAGGGCUUGAAGAACUUCAGUAAAACUGCACGAGAACUAAUUGUGCGGCUGCAGAAGAUUGACAAUGAUAACUACCCUGAGGUUUGCGAAUUCUUUUUUCCUAUUCUAUGGACUUAAUGGACACAAGAUUGUUAUUGAAGAUAAUUCUUACAAGAAUAACUAUUCGUGCAGACAUUAUACCGAAUGUUCAUCGUUAAUGCUGGCCCAGGAUUCAGGCUUUUAUGGAACACUGUGAAGUCUUUCCUCGAUCCAAAGACUACUUCGAAGAUACAUGUAGGCAAUUGUGAUCUAACCGUGAAGUUCAGUUUUUUCUCUUGAAUUUCUGAGAAUGUAAAUUGAAUUACUUCGCAAUUUUCUUUUUCAGGUCCUUGGGACCAAAUUCCAAAGCAAGCUGGCUGAAAUAAUUGAUUCCAGGUUGGUGCCUUGAAAAUUUUGCAUGAUAUAUGUAUAUGCCUUUUGAAACUUAAUUUCUUGCAUUACUGACCCUUGCUUUACAAGAAAAUUUUGCCUCUAUUUUACUUUUUUCUUGAUAACUUUCAGCUUUCCUCCAUGAAUUGGAUAUUUCCCAACUUAGAUGUAAGAGAUUUCAUUUUCAAUGGCCAUACAUGAGAUUCCAGAUUUUAUAGUGGUGCAUAGUAAAUAGUUGACUUUUGUGCGAAUAUAUAUAUAUAUGUAAAAGCCCUCAAUUUUGUUUCAUGAUUAACACCUUUCCUUUUGUAAAUUUAUUCAGUGAGCUUCCGGAAUUUCUUGGUGGUUCUUGUACUUGUCCCGAACAUGGAGGAUGCCUUAAGGCAGAGAAAGGCCCUUGGAAGGACCCAAACAUAUUGAAGGUUUCUGUUUGUUAACCAUCUCUUUUUUACUUAUACAUAUUAUAUUCUCAAUUUUGUCUUUUAAUUUUAAGGAAUUUUUGCUGUUAUAUGUAGAUGGUCCUUUGUGGUGAAGCACAAUAUGGUAGGCAAAUUGUAACUGUAUCCAAUGGCGAGGGAAAAAUCAUUGCUUAUGCUAAACCACAAUACACAGGAGUAAGACUUCGUACAAUCCUUUUUCUUUUUUAACUUAUUUCCCUAUUGAAAAUAAGUUGCUAAUGAAUGAAAACUGCUAUUUUGUAGAAAAUGAUUCACAUAUUUUUUUUAUUUCACAAAUGUACCCACUUUUUUCAGUUUUAGAAUUUUUGGACCAAAAUUUUUCUGUGGACCAAGAUGCCCCUAACUGAAAUACCUGAUGCAUGCAAUUAAUUUUAGUCUAUACAGAAAGAUUUUUUUUGAAAAUGUUAGCAGCAGAGGAAGUGGAUUAGACUGCUUAAUUAAGAGAAACCUAUUGGUUGAUUUUGCAAAAUCCCCUGCUAAAAUCAGUUUCUUCUUUUUGGAGUAGAAAAAGGGUAGUGAUACAUCUACUGCGGAGUCUGGUUCAGAUGCUGAAGACAUUUCCUCACCAAAAGCAUUGAGAACUUAUAUUUCUCACCCUCAAUUGACCCCAGUUCGCGAAGAGGUGAGUUGAUUCUCUGAUGACAUUUUCUAUUUUAUAUGUUGACAUUUUAUUUUUUUAAUUAGGAUACUAUCUUGGCAACUCUUUUCUUAUAAGCUAACCAUGCGUAUAAAGGUAGUGUCUGUUACAAAGUAAGUUAGAGAAUUUCAGAAGGAUAUGAAUGUUAAUUUAUGUACUUUUUAAAGUUCCAAGUGACUAUAUGGGAUUGAGUUUGUUGAGUUGGUCGAAAAGUAGCACAGGUAGAUUUCAACAAUUGUUCUGUAUUUGAUUUUGAAACUACUAGUUGUUUUACAAAAACACACUCUGGGAAAAAUAGGUGAUCUAGGUAGGAGAAGGUGAAUUUCUAGAGAAGGAAAUGAGGUUGAACGUGCUUCGUAUCUAGUAAAAGUCAAAGCACAUAGGACCAAAAGUGUUUCGGAUGUCUUGUAUUGAACAUUUGUUUCUUUAAUAAACUGUUCUUGCAAUCAGUAUUUCUUGUGAUAUAGUAGAGUUGGUUAUAAGUAUGGUCUCUAAAAUUUGGCUUUGGUUUCAAUUUUGUCCGCUGGUUCGAAUUGUAACAAUUUAAUCCAGAAGUCUUACUCUGAUAUCAGUUUCAUCAUCAGUAUCAUUUCAAUUCUGAAGUUUGAUCUUAACUUCAAGCUUAGCCCUGAAGUUUGACUUCAGUUUCAGUUUCAUCUUUAAGUUUCAAUUUUAUGAGUCUAAUGAUGGUGCUGACUAAAUUAUUACAGUUAAAACUAUGAGGGAAUAUCGAAUUUUGGGCCAAACUUUUUGACAAUUUUGUUGUUAACCCUGUAUUAUAACAUGUUAUGAAUUUUCAAAUAGGUUGUUAUUAACGUAAUCACAGCAACUACUCUCAUAUUAUCUUGUAGCAAGCAAAGAUGGUGAAGGCAGCUAGCUUUCCUACUGGUCUUUCUGAAAGUGGUGAACAUGUUCCCAUGGUUGACAAGGCUGUUGAUGCAGGAUGGAAGAAAGAAGCUUCUAACCAGAGGCUUUUCGGAUCUAAAGGUUCGUGAAUCAAUAGCUAAAAGAAUUAAAUUUGAAUAGAACAAAAAAAUCCCAGAUCUGUCAGAAAAUUUGAAGAAAGCCCCCUAAUCUUCCUCUUUUUUACAUGAAUCUGUUGUUUUGAGUUUUUAUUUUCAAAAGCCCCUGCUGAGAUCUUUCAAUGGAACAUAGGAAAAUUUUGUUACAAACAUAUCCUCGGAAACUUUAUAUUCUCACUCCUAAUUUCGAAAAACACUAGUGCUAGUGGAAUUGUUACUAUUGCUAAUGGAAUUUACUAUUGCUAACUUUCGUCCUCAACUUUAUUUAUAUGAAGUUCACAAGGACAACCAUUAUAAAGGGACAAAAGUCACUAUUCCUUUUGGUGUCUUCCUUGAUUCCAUUAAACAUGCCUGUUGGCAACUUCUAUUAUUAACAACAAACAAAAAAACAAACAAACUUAGAGUAAAGGGUUUUAUCUGACCUGACAAAACAAAAGUUAGGGCCUUUCUUGAGACUGUCCACAAAAUCAGGGAUUACAUAAAAAUUAUCUUUCCAUUUUUUUCGUUCUCUUAAAUCUUGAUCUUUAGAUCUUUUUCCUUGGGGCAGAUUUCAAGUUGUUAAGCCUGCUAAAUUUAGCAUCAACGACAUCCAAUUUUAUCUAAUUCUGCCUUUUCAACUUCUAUUUUUGUCACUAGUAAUUUCACAAUAAAAGACUAAUGAAACUGCUUAGAUCUAGUUACACAAGUUUGAAUAUGAUACAUAUGCUAGUCACGCACUCCAUUUUCUUUAUCUUCAUUCUUAAUAAAUAACUAAACAUGGCUAUGUUUUUUGUUUGCUAUUGUCAUAAAUGCAGAUACUGUUUCUCUUACAUCAAAACCUUCUGAAGGUCACUUGGCUCAAAUUAUUGCGACCCUGUUGGCAUUUAUCCUGACUAUUCUGACUUUCCUACGUGCAAUCACAAGUCGCGUGACCAAGAAACUUCCACAGAGUACUUCCCAGCCAGAGACUAACUACGCCACAUUUCAAUUUGACUCUGUUCCGAAAGAAGAGUUCCGCCCGCCUUCGCCCGCUCCAGGAUUUACCCAAGUAGACCUCCUUUCGUCACUUCUGAGUAGGCUCGGUGAACUCGAAGAGAAAGUCGAGAUUCUUCAAGCAAAGCAACAUGAGAUGCCUUCUGAGAAGGAAGAGUUGCUUAAUGCCGCUGUUCGCCGAGUAGAUGCAUUAGAAGCCGAGCUCAUUGUUACUAAGAAGGUAAAGUUGUGCAACUCAUUUCCCUUCUUGACUAAUGUUGGCUUUGUAUAUUUAGCUAGACUAUGCAGAUGCACAAUAACUACCGUAGAGCAUCAUAAAUCUAGGCCUUGUUUUUCCUCACCACUUGUAUCCAUUCUUUUUCUGAAAAGAAUGGUUAUUGUGAUUCAUUUUGGCUCUGGGCUCUUUUCUGUCUAGACUUGUCUAUCCAAUACUCUUUAUCAUCAUACUAUUUGUAAAGGAUUUUUUGGUUAGUUAUUAUAAUCUUAGAUAGUUACCAUGGUGGGCCAAAUUUUUUUUGAAUAAAUUUAUCCAUUGUUAUAACCAUUUUUUUAGACUAUAUUCCCAACUGUUAUAUGGAUGAUUAGUUAAUGACCUGUUUUUUUUUUUUCCUUAGUUCACUUUGUUGGUUUCUAUUUUCCCCAGUACAUGUUGAACAAUAUUUUUAACCAGCGUGUUGUAUUUACCAAACUCGGCAAUUUUACUUUGCGUAUUUAUGUGCUAAUUUAUUACACAGGCUUUGCAUGAAGCUCUUAUUAGGCAAGAGGAACUGCUUGCAUAUAUAGACCGCCAAGAGGAGGCUAAGCUUCGGGUUAGUUAACACUUUCUACCCCCUCUCUUUUUAUCAAUGCUGUCCUACAUUCAAAGCUUUUUUUUUUUUUUGUUUUCAUUUUUUUGAUAACACAUUAAAAAAAUGAUGAUACCGAUGAAUUUACGUACCUUGCUACAAAUUUUUUGUAGAAGAACAAAUUUUGCUUUUGAAGAGUUUGAAGAGGCUUAUGCGGCUUUGUUCUGCUGGUGGAGGUUUUACAAGCAGGAAAAGAAGAUGAAUUUGAGGUGACAUUCUACGGAUGUAUCUUCAAAAUCAUUGGGUUUCGACGUAUGAUUCUAGCGAUAAAUAAAUUGUAUUUUCAUUUCCCCUUCUAUUGCAAUGCCUUUAUAAUAGCCUUUCUUUUCUUUUUUUUUUCCCUCGCACGUUUGUUUCCCAGUAUGAGGACAUAGUAUAAGUAAAACAACGUAAUCAAAAAGAUUAUCAAGUCAGUUACUUUUUUUAACUUUGGUAUAUUAUAUAUUUAUAUAUACACACACACACGCUUGCUGAGUCCUCCUUUAUGCUUUGUUAUUUUAUUUCUUUAUUUCUUUUUAUCCUUGUAUCAGAGAUGUAAAAACAUCCAAUGGAAGUUGUAUCCCUAGUAUUGGGACUACUAAAUCUUUGGAAUGUGGGGAACAACUAUGGCCCUUAUAAGUCAUAACCUUUGUAACGAGCAAGUCGUAAAAUAUUUGAUAGUUGAUACUCGAAAUUUCAAAUUUAAAGUCUAGUUGUUCUAUAUUUCUAGCUAAAUUUAUUUAUAAAAAAAAAUGAACGAAAUGGGUACCAUACUGAUACUACCAUUCUCUCUCUCUCAAAAAAAAAAAAAAAAAAAAUGCAGGAGCUCUUGGUGGGGGGUUGUGAAAAGGAGCUAUUAAUGAUAUUUCACAUAGCUUUAUUCAAAUAACAAUUUUAUGGAACUUCCGGUCACACCAAUGAUGACCAAACAAGUCCUAAAUAUUUGGGAAGUGAUCUCAAUUGACUCACUUUUACUACGAAUAGAUCAGCUUUUUUCAAUUUGGUCCAAAUCAACAGCUGAAUAUUAAUUAUUCAAAGGAAGCAGGUAACCAAUCACAUGUGGCAUUAGAAAUAAAUGUCCAAACUAAAAUAGAAUGUAUGUACAUAACAAUCAACUUGGUAAAUCAUACAAUCGAAUAACAAAUAAAAUGUAUGUGAUCCCAAAGGAAUCAUUUGAGUAAUACAUAUGUACUUUUAACCGAAAGCUUGGAUUAGUUCACCCAAGAAUAAACACAUAUAAGGUUGCAACUCAUAUAAAAGAAAAUUAACCAACCUCUUAAAAGUUUCAUAUUUUUACUUUACAUGGUGCUUUCUCUCUCUUCUCACUGCAUUCUUUUACCAGCAAAAUGGGUUCUGCAUAUGUUAAGUUACAGUGUUAUCAGAUGAAGAGGAUAUGCAUAGAAAAGUAUUAAGCAAAAACAAAAUAAUGUAGCUCCUAAGUCAAGCAAAAGAAGAAGAGAACACAUUUAAAAUAUUAUGUAUAAUUAUUUAUUAACUAACAUGGUACUAUUUCUUUGUAUUUGAAGUGAUCCAAGGCCCUAGUUUCUAAGAAAACAUACCGUGGUUAAGAAAUGGAGUUAUAGUGUGGAAGAAAAAUGGUUUGCCACAAUUAUUGAAAGAAUAACAGCAACAUAUAUACAGUAUUAAACAUUUAUACAAUUAUAUAUCUAUCCCAAUAGAAAAGCUUAUAUUAUGAAUGAAAGUGCCAGGAUAUAACUAUAUAUAUAUGGUGUGUUCAAAAGAUUGGAUUUUCGAAAUAUUCGACAUUCGGAUACUAAAACCACUUACCAACUUGUUCUUCUUCUUUUUCUUCUUAUCAAUAUAAGCAAGAAGCUCCUCCUGCUGCGAGAAAGCAUCCUCGAGAGCCUGCGAAAUGAGAAAUAAAUAGGAACCAUUAUUUUUACAGCCAAUUUAACUAAACAAUCUGCACCAAAUUCUCUCAUGCCAUAGCCAUGAAACUGAAAUCCUUUUCUAUCAAAUAUGUGCUUACCUUUCUGGUGGCUGCGAGCUCGGAUUCUAACGCCUCGACGCGGCUCACUGCAGCCUUAAGCAUCUCCUCCUUCUCAGAAGGCAUCUCAACAGGCUUCAUGCUGAGAAUGUUCAUCUUCUCUUCCAUUUCCACAAGGCGCUUAAUCACCGCAUUGUAUUCAGCAGCUGAUACUUGAGGUUCACUCAUCAUGCAUAACUGCUUUUGGCUUCUGACUGCAGCUUCUCCGUAAGCAGGGUUCGUGCAGUCGAUGGCCGCCCCGACUAUUUUCUUGGACACGACGCGGCUGACUUUGAGGAUGGUGACUAAGCCCAUAACCACGGCCAUGACUCCUCCGAGGACGGGGCUGCCAAGUCCUCCUGAGUUUUGGCAGAUAUCUGCCAAUGAGUAGGGAUCUGAAAAGCGAAAAAAUAGCAUCUAUAUAUUAAACUUUGUGUCUUGUCUAUUAAAUCCCUCACACUAUGAGAGAACAUUCAAAUUCGCAGAUUUAAGACACGACAUGGGACAAUUUGAAAUUACUGAGAAAAACUUGAAUCGACACUACUACAUGAAUUGAACCGUCUAACACGGAAACGACACGACAUAACAGGAUUACAGUAAGUAAUUUUGUUGAGCAUCUAGGUAAAGUUAUAGGCUCUUAGACGUAGUCUCAAAUGGUGCUCAAGCUCCGCAAAUAUAGCUGAAAAUUAAUUUUUUUGAGAGGUAAUAGUUACAUGAACCAACCUUUAGAUAUCAUUGCAAGUUUUUGGUCUUGUACUUCAUUGUUCCAGCUAGCGUCGACGGCCUUGUCAACAAUCGGGAUGUGAUCAUCGCAAGAAUACGAGGAGGAAAGAGUUUCUUCGGCCUCCGGAACCUGUAGAGUUUAGAAAAGAUUAGGGACUCGGCUAAAAUUGAAGGACCAACAUGAGUGUUAGUAUAAUACAUUGACCUGUGAAAUAGCGUCUGAUAUUUCUGUUUCUCUCUGUCAGAAAGAAUGCAGCAGGGAGUUUAUUGUAGAAUAAGCAUAACUAUCAUGGAGAGUACUACAGUGUUCAUGUACCAAAAACAAUGCAAUGUUCAUUAAUUUCUUAGUGAGAUAAUUGUAGGAAAACCCUUGUAAUUAUAGCAGUUAAUUCUAAAAUUGCCCCCCCAAGAACAUAGAUUCUAUCCUCUUGACCCCCGUAUGUAUGCUGACAUAUAUCAUCAACAAAAGGAGGCGAAGCGAUGAAAAAUCAUUGUUUAGGGAGGUUGAUAAAUAGGUUUUCAAUAUUUCAAGGUGGCAAAAAUGGAAAUCGUGAUAUUUACGAAGGGCUUUCUUCAUUUUAGCAUUUCAAGAUAGUUAGUUAGCUAGUUAUCCGUUUUGUUCAUAUAGUACUAACUGAUUGAAGAAGUCUCCUACCUGGUAUGCUGGACAGCCAGGUUCCUCACGGACGGGAGACAAAUGUGGGUGUUCAAUAAAGCCCCUCGAUGGUUUCGGAGAUCGAAUAUCGUCUGUGGGAAAAAUCAUCUCUCCAGAGAAAGAUUCUUGCAUCUUUACGUAAUGACAAGAGUAUCUUACAAAUUAGUACUUAAAGAUUGUAAAUUAAAGCAUGAAGAAAUGAAAGAAACAGAGAAAAUUAAGUUAGGUUGAGUUUCACAGCCACCUUGGGAUAGAAUAUCUCAUCCUCAGAAAUUGUUUUCUCGUCGGCACUGAAAGAGUUUGAGUUUGGCUUCCCACAUCUCCCAUAGCCACUUUGAACCAUCUAUACAUCAAUGUAUUUAGGGAAAAACUCGGUUAAUUUUUCUAUCCCUCUCAACUUAUAAUGUUGAAAACAUUGAAGAAAAUCUACGUAAAAAUAAGAAAGUAAAGAAGCAAAUAAAUUAUGAUUUGAGGGUCGAAAGGUAAACACACCUUCAGGAUUUCGAGAUCCUUCCAUGGGCCUUUGUCGGACCGAAGACAACCACCCUCACAGUUGCAAGUGCCACCAAGGAACUCCGGUAAUUCACUACGAGAAAACCACAAUAAUUUACACAAUGAUUUGAUGCCUAAAUAAUUCAGAGAGUAAUUACCUGAGGUUUUAUCAAAGUAAUUUUUGAUACAUUAGUAUUCAAAAUUCUAGUAGUAAUGUGUGCUUCAUAAGCUUUAAUGCAAACCUGGCAUCAAUCACUUCAAGCAACUUGCUUUGGUACUUGUUGCUCAGAACCUGAUUGUGAAUCAAAUUAUUGUUAGUUUUCGCAAUAGUUCAUCAAAUUAGAGUUGUUAAUAAAGAGAGAGAGAGAGAGAGAGAGAGAGAGAGAGAGGCACUUACGUGAAUCUUUGCGGUGGUUUUAGGAUCAAGGAAGGUCUUUACGGUGUUCCAAAGCAGUCUAAAUCCCUGACCGGCAUUGAUGAUGAACAUGCGGCACAAGGUCUAAAGAAGAAAAAGAUUGUAAUAAAGUAAAUAUCAUCAUUUUGCAUGAUAUAGUUACUUGGCUAUACAAUUUUUGUGAUUGAAGUGAUUCAUAAUACCUCGGGAUAGUUAUCUCCGUCGAUCUUCUGAAGGCGGCUGAUUAACUCUCUCGCAGUCUUAUUGAAGUGUUUGUACCCCUAAUAAGAUAACACAUUCAUACCAUAUUCAUUUUAAAGCGGGAAAGGAACAACCUAUUUUUUGAACUUGAGCAACUUAAUUAUUAGACUCUCAGAAAACUUGUACAAAACCGAACUGCAUGCAACUUACAAGUAAGAGGUUCUUCAUACCCUCAUGUAUUACUAUGUUAGUAUACAUAUUCUUAUGAAACCAAGGAAUUCUAAUGCAAAUUAAGGAUUAGUGUCUUUGUCAUAGUUAUUCUUGCUAAAUCAUCUAUUCAGAUAUGUACCCCUACAUAAUGCGAUUAUUUUGUAUUCCUCUCCAAAGUGCAUUUUCUAACGAAAUUAGUUAUGGAUUCAAGGGAAAAGUAGGUUUUGCAUCGUAAAUAAAGAGUACUAGUUUUAAUAUGGACAUAUUCACAAGAACAAGGGCAUGUAUAUUCAAAAUAAAGUUUCUAUUAUGGACAUAUUUAUGUGCAGGUUUCGCAUGCCUUCUAUUUUCAACAGAAGGUCUUCUUCACAUACCACUCCUUGGACAUCGAGAAUUGUCGUGCUCUGGUCGAUAUGCCGCUUCGCUGCGAUCGAGCAAGCAGGGAAUUUAACUGCGAAGGUCCUCUCAAACUCCCUAACGUGAUACUUAACGUAUCGGUCCAUAUUCGUGACUUGCAUCAGCUUGUUCGCGUCGAUUUGCCCAAGCCUUUCGAUGUAAACUGGUCGGCCUUCCUUGUCUACUCCAUGGUGGCCUUGUGGGUAGUGCUCCAAAACUUGGUCGAUCUCUUUGAAAUCGAAAUCCUGGGGAGUUAAUUAGUUGUAUAAAAUGAGAAGGAAUGAGUGAGGAUAUAUAAUUUUGAUCUUUAGUUAGCAUGAAAUAAGAACUAUAUAUAUGAUUAUGAUUCCUUUUCCUAUUAAGAAAGUGAGGAAGAAAAUUACAUCUGUUAUUGUGUCGGCGCCGAAUUCCUUUCUCCAUUGGAGCAUAUCAGCCCACAUUUGCUUCGUCUUUUCAAUAUCGAACUUCCUUGCUUUAAGAAACCUGUUUCCGAAAACAAAUUGUAACUGUCAUUAGUAUUUUGUCAAACCAUAUAAUUUCAAUUUCUUUCUUCAUAGCAAAUUAGAUCGAUCGGUACAUCAUAACUGUUACAAUGAAAUCAAAAGAUAGAUACAUUUGUUCAAGACCAUUACCGUAAUCUAUCAAGAAUUAUACUAGCGAACUAUAUUUUAGUCAUCAUAACAAAUAAAGCAAAAAAGGGAUCAUAAUAUUAAUGAUACUACAACAGCUACAAUUAAUGCAUUAUCCAUCUAUUUAUCUAUCCAUAGAUAUGUACCUUAGCAUCAUGUGGUAGUCAUCAUGUCUGGAGGGAAGCAGUUCCUCGAGAAUGAGAGUCUGGCGGAAGGCAUCGACAGCCUGCAUCUCCUCAGCAUCGCGCACGUCCUCGAUGGAGACUGACAUAACCUUGCUGCUUCUCCUGCCCCUCUUCGUCAGCGAAUUUCUGAACUUUGUCGACGCAUUGAUCGCCUUCUUCUUUAAAGACCCGAUUCUUGUCUUCCUGUCGUCCUCUGAGUUCUCGAUGUCAGAUCUUCUGUCUCGCUUUUCUUGAUCUGGAAGGCCUUCCUGACCUGCCAAAGAGUUAAUAGAGUCUAACAUCAUCAGAAAAUGCGAAAUGUUAUGCGAAAUUGAUUCGCUUUUUCUUCUCCAACAUUUUUUUUUUCAAGAUUGAUGAUAUUUGUUUGAGAAGAAUUAGAUAAUUAUUGCACGAGUAGUUAGAAUAGAAUUAUGCACAUUGUACAUAGUUUUAUUGUAAGUAUGUCUAUUUAAUUUAUUUCCUAUACAUAAUUUGCGCCGACAUAAACCAUAGACCAAAACUACAAACUUAUAAUGCUCUCUUAUUUUUGAGAUGCCAUAUAACAAUGUGCGAAUAGAAAAAUCAAAUAUCAACAUAAAAAUCAAUAUAUACUCGCGUAUUAUUUGAGACAAAUAUAUGCUUCUAUAUAUAUAUAAAAAAAUCGGACGUACCAGGUAUUUGGAAUCGGUCGAGAGGCCCCGACAUAGCUUCACUCAUGGUUCGUUUGCGCGAGCUACAACACAUAGUCAAAAAAAAAAAAAAAAAAAGAGAAAAAAAAAAAAAAAAAAAAGAGAAAAGGAGAACAAAAACUCUUUAGCCCGAAGAAAAAGAAAAGAAAAAAAAAGAAUAUUCUUGUGUUGUAUAACUUAGUUAAAUAUUGAACAUAACUUUAGAACAAUCUCGAUAUAUACGUGAAGUUGAAAUUAAUAUUGCACUGUUUUAAGUUGAUCACAGAGAAAGUAGGGAAAAAAAAGAAGAAGAAGUAGAGAUUAAUUGUUUGCCUUAUACAUGCAUACAUGAAAUGUGAAAAUAUUUUAAUGCAAGCGUAUUAAUCAGAAGAUGCAUGAUUAAUGUAACUUACUUGCCCGAUCGAGUGGCCGGUGAUUAAUUAAUUAUAAUGAAUGCUAUGCGAUGUUUAAUAAAACGAAGCUCAAUUGUUUGAAAGUGUACAUACCUACGAGAGAAGCAUGAGGUUUAGAAACAGCAAGGGAGGGGGAGGAGGUGUAGCUUAAAAAUGAUAACACGGAAUGCGCGUAGAGAGAGAGAGAGAGAGAGAGAGAGAGAGAUCCAGAGAGAGAGAGAGAGAGAGAGAGAUGGGUGUUAGAGAGCGAAAGAGGGAGAGCUUUUUCGGCGUAAUGCAAGCUACUCCGUUCGUUAUUCCUAUAUUAUAUUAUACCCAAGAAAACAUGGGGAGCUUAAAAUUAGAUAUAUAGUGAGAGGGGGAGGGAGAGAGAGAGAAUCGCGUGCAACGGCUAUUUUCUUUUUUUUCUUUUUUUUGAAAAUUAAAACUUCAAAUAUCGCUGUUAUGGUUUUGCGCUUUCUCAUUUUAGUAUUCUAUAGUUUAAAAUGUAUCACUUUCGUAUUUUGUGCUUUUAUUUUUUCCUUUCCGUUGUCCCAUCCGGUAAGUUUUUCGUUAAAUCAGUGACAAAAUUAGAAUCACGAGAUAUUAAAGUGAAUAUUAGAUAAAUCAUAGAUGGGUAUCUGAAGUUCUUUGUAUAUGAUUUAACGAAAAUUAACGAAAGCGCCGAUGAAAAGAGAAAAAUAAAAACACACGGUACUAAAAUGAUAUAUUUUUAAUCAGAGGGUACUAAAGUGAGAAGCGUUGAAACCAUAGGGUGGUAUUUAAAGUUUACCUCCCUUUUUUUUUUCCUUUUUUUGGAGGGGAAUCGGUUUGAAUAAAACAAUUCACAUUUAAGUCCCCGUGCUAUGUAUCCUGAUAUUGUGGUUUGGUCCGUAAACAUUGAUAACCCAGAACUUUGAAAUGUUUCUAGAAAAUAAAAAUGAACUCUAUUGUAAAAUGGGAAUCGAAAUGGGAAUUGAUUGGAACGGUGAAUCUCUUAAUUUGUUUGGUUCACAAUAAGAUUUGGAAUCGGAAUCAACUUAUUAGUAUUAUUAUUUAGUUAAAACAAAAAAAAAUUAACCUACUAUCUAAAUUCGUAAUCAAAAUAUAGAUUUAAAUUGAGAUUCAUAAUUUAAAUUUUUAAUUUGACUUUAAGUUCAAAGUUAAAAUGUAAAAUUAUAUCUAAAUUCAAGUAUCAAACAUAUAUUGAAAUUAAAAUUAAAAUUUUAAAAAUUAAUAAAUGUUGAAUUUAUAUUCUGAAUUUAAAUAUAAAAUUAUAAUUUCAUCUAAAUUUAAAAUUAUAUGCAUAUUUGAAUUUAAAUAAUUAUUAUUGAAAAAAAAUGAGUUUUUUUCUAUCCUUUUCGGAAGUAAAAUUGACUCCCAUGCACCUCCGUGUUGGGAGUCAUUUUGGAGGGAUUCGAUUAUCCCCGGAAUGAGAAUCGAAAUGCUUUUCUCUCUAAUCAAUCACUAACAAUAGUAAUUGCUCAUUCUGAUUUCCAUUCCAAGCCUCAAAUUUUUUUAAGUAAAUGAGACCUAAGUGAAAUACAUAAUGUAUAAGCAAGAGGCAAUAUGAUCAUUUUAUUUAGAAAAAAAUAAAAAAAUAAUGUUUACAUGGAUAUGGAUCAAAGCGCAAUAAUGCAUGGAAUAGUACAACUGUACAAGGCCUACCCAUGCAUUAAUUUUAUAAACCUUUUUUUGUUUUUUUUUUUUCACUUGUGAAUGGCUUGUAACGGCAUGUCUAGAUGCGUCCGCAUCGUGUUCAGCUCUCGCUUUUUUUGGUUUAUUUAAGAAGCAAGAGUACUUACUUAAUAGAUGUGCAAAAUAACAUAUAAAUGAUUCGUAAUAACAUGUUCAAAAUAGUACAAAUUCUCAUAUGCAACAUAUAUUAUUCAAAAACAAACCAUGAAUAUCACCGGGGACCAAAAAAAAGGUUCUAUAGUUCAAUUACAAAAGAAAAUUCUCAUAGCAAACAUAGUGUCAUUACAUAACUUAUUUUAACAUUCAAAUAGAUCGCAAUGUAAGAGAAUCAAUCCGUCGGCCUAAUAUGUCUUUUCAUCCAUGCAACUCUUUUUUUCAUCUUAUAAUUUUAAUCCAACAUAGUUCAACCUCUCAAUAGAGAGAAUAAACCUCCAUCAAAUUUGAUAGUAGAGAAUGAAGUGUGACUUGCGGUGAAAGGGGUAUCGAUGCACUAUGCACAGAUGCACUCUAUGCAGAUAAUAAUUUCUAAGCAUUAAAAAAAAAUUGCAUGGAGACUCUGUGUAAUAUCUGGGAUAUUUGUAAUUUAAGAAAUUCAAAAUUUAAAUUUGAAUUCGAAUUUCAAUUCAAAAUUCUCUCUAUAUAUAUUGCUAUAUAUAUGUGAGAGAAAAAGGGGGCAUCAGAUCUUCGCGAAUCCGCGACCAAAUCACACGAAAUGAAAACGUGAUCUCGAAGGUCCGACAGUGCCGGUAGCGUUGGCGCAGUCCAUUCACAAAUCUCACGAACGGAUCGUCUGAAAUUGCAUGUUUAUUGGGGAGAGGAUUUUAUGGGAAAAACUGUGUUUCGGAAAAUCCCCCAACAUUUUAUGUGCCAAAUCGCACGAUUUCGCACGUGGGAGUGGCGUUGUGCAAGUUACUUGUGUUGUGAGGGACCAGGGUAAAAUUUCUAUGUAUUUGUAGAGUUUUUUGCAAUUUUUCCAAAAAUGCUCAAAGAGAAACCUAGGGUUUGUCUUCCCCCACUCUUAACCCUAACCCUCUCUCCCUCUCUCUCUCUCUCACUCAACCACCUCCCUCUUUCUCUUCCGAGUGCGCCAUGUGUAACCUCGGCCGCCGGCAACCUCGUCUCCGGCCAUCUCUCUUUCUCUCCCUCAUUUUUUCUCUUCCCCUCUCACUCUUUCCUUGUUCUAUGAGCCCGAGCAGCAUGGGGACCCGAGGCCACGUCCCUUGGGUUGGCCUCGACCACCCCGACUUCUGGCUGACUCCCCCGGCGUCCUCGUGCCCUGCCGACGCCGCUUGUGACGCCUCAACUUUCCAGAGGGUCAUCCAUCCUAGGACUACUCCCAUCCCAGUACGCUUAAUUUUCUUAACCUCUUGGGCCUAACCACCACCCAAGAUGCUUAAGCCGGGUUUAGAAUUUUAGCCCUACUUGGGGUCUCACAUUCUCUCCUCCUUAAGCCCUGACAUCCUCGUCAGGCUCAAACUCACAAGUACUAUGUGAUGUGAGACUCGUCUCACUAGCCUAAAGCGACCUUGUGGUGAGCUGCACUCCACCCACAACAGUCAACAAUGUGAGAGCCUCGCUCUCCCCGCUGUAUAAUCCUGGCUCAGCCGCGACUGAUCUUACACUUCCGACUAGUAAUUGGCUCUGAUACCAAUUGUGAUGCCCCAACUUCCUAGGGGGUAACCCAUUUUAGAAUUACUCCCGUCCUAACAUGCUUAACUCUCUUAACUUCUUGGGCCUAGCCAUCAUCCAAAAUGCUUAAGCCGGGUUUAGAGUUUUAGCGCUAUUAUAUUUUAUAUAUACUACUUGGGGUCUCACACCGCCGCAACUGCCAGAAUACUCCUCCGACAGCCACAGGCAGAGAGGAGCCUAGCUUCACUGAACCACGGUCGCUGCUGCCGCUGCCGACUCCCCCGGCCUUAGGAGGUCUGCCGCCAACGACCCCAACCUCCCUCAGCCGUCGCCAUCGCCGCUUGGCUCUCCCCAACCCAGCCAGGAUUUGUGCUCGCCGAGCUUCUCCAACUAGCCGCUGCCGCUCCCAGUCGCUAGCCAAGGGGAGCACUGUGCUUCUUUCCCCCUCUGCUGCUGACCCUAGCUGGAGCGCACAGCGGCAGCCGGCCGGAGAGCCCUCAGCUCGCACAGCCCCUUGAGCUAGGACUCAAAUAUAGGCCCUUCUCUAUUCGUGGCAGUUCGAUGCCCCCCGAUCUUUUUGAAGGCAAGCACGGCGAACCCCUCGACUCGCUAAACGUCAUGCCUAACUCUGUCGCUGUCAACGACGCUCCCUCGCUGAGUUUUAGCUCCUUCACUCCCGAAGUCUUUUGUACACUGAAGUUGGGGAGGCUCCACAACACUCCUCGGUUGUCAUGCGCGCUUGGGACAGCGAGCACAGUGUCCGACACGUCGAGACCUAUCGGACGUGCCUUCGCUUCAUCCCAAAAGUGCACAGUUUUCGGUAAUGGCCUUAAUUUUUGCUCUAAUGUUUAUUAUUUCGCGAUUUGUUGGCUCUUUAGGGACAUUUUUGCAAUCAGGGCUUCGUGGGCUGCCUUGGGUAGCGUGUGGUCAUUGUUUGUGACCCUCCCUCUAGACUUUUCCUCUAGAUUCUGAAGCCUCUGUGCGAUCAAAAGUAGGGUUUCCACGCGUUUGUCGGUGAAAUUGCCGGUAGAAUACAGUUUCGUGUUGCAGUGAAUCUCCAGCUUCAUGGUUCCCCGAAAAUUAUCACCUAGCCUUGUUAGCUAGCUACUGUGGUGCCCUCAUGUGUUUGGAGGUGAUCGGAGUGCGGCGGAGGCUUCCAGUGCUAAAGUGGACACUUUCAGAAGCCCGGUGGUCGAUUGGCGAUGACCGAGUUGACUUGGAGACUUAUGUUUACUGUUCGAGCACUUAAAUAGAUGUUUUUCGGGAUAGUGGGUGACUCCUGGUGUGAGUCGGUACAUUUUGGGGCAUUUUGUGGGUCCCGGGGGCAUCUCGGUGCGUUUUAGGGAUUCCCGGUGAGUUCGGGAAUCUGUUUUGGGAAAUCAAUUUCGCGAAUGGUUUGGGAUUGUGAGCCUUGUGUUUUUGAGUCUAUAGGAUUAGAUUCUGACUCGGUGGACCUGUCGUAGGUUUGGUCGACGUCCCUUGCUUUGCAGGAGCUGGAUACAGUGAUGGACACAGGUGGGUACUUCGAUCUGAAGUUGGUACUGUGGUGCAUGCUCGGUGAUAUCUCUUGUAACACCCCCAAUAGUCCCACAUCGGAUGGGAUACUGAUCCUAAUCAGUUUAUAUGAGUCCUCACACGCUAGUAAUAAUAACUGAGCUUAACCAUUUUUGGUAGGUGGUUUGGCCCAACGAGUUAUUAUUGCUAGAGGGUCGGAUCGUUACAAUUGGUAUUAGAGCCGAAUACCGGUCAGAAGUGUGAGAGAUAAGUGCUAUACGGGGCAAAGUGCUACACCAACGAGUUUUGUGGGAGCCGCUUCUUGAAACCGUAGAAGCCAUCUCUAGAAUCUCACAUCGCCUGAUAAUUCUGGUCCUAAUCUGUCUAUCUGUUGGGGUUUUGACCCAACGAGAAUGUCAAUGUCUAAAUAGGGGGAGUUUGUAAUACCUCCAAUAGUCUCACAUUGGAUGGGAUAUUAAUUUCGAUCAGUUUAUAUGAGGCCUCGAACGCUAGUAAUAAUAACUUGGCUUAAGCAUUUUAGGCCGGUGGUUUGGCCCAACAUGUUAUUAUUACUGGCGGGUCGAGUUGUUACAUCUCUCUACUCUUUCCUAACUACCUACUACUUAUACUUGUUUCAUGAUGAGUAUGACACUCUAUGACUUUGCUUUAUAUUUGCUCUAUUAGUUCAUAUUUUCGUUCUUGUCUAGAAGCAGAACAGUAGUGUUUCUUUGCUUAUGCAUGAGCGUAUAUCAUCAAAUACCUAAGUGGUCGGUACUCAUGGAUUUGCAUUGUUUUAUGAUUUCGCACAUCAUUCAACCUAAGUAGUCAGUACUCGUGGAUUUGCAUUGUUUGAUGAUCUCACACAUCAUUGUUGAUCUGAGUGGUUGGUACUAGUGGAUUUGCAUUGUUUGAUGAUCUCGCACAUCAGUGUUGACCCGAGUGGUUAGUACUCGUGGUCUUAUGUUGUUUGAUAACAUGAUCGGUCGGUACACCCUGAGAGGUCUGAUUGUCGGCUAUUCGCCGACGGAUGACUAUUGACCAUAUUUGCAUCGAUCGCCAUAGCUCGUCAGUAUUUCACGUACACCGGCGAUCUAAUCUAUUGUAGGAAGGUGUUCUUUUCUGAAAAAGUGAUCGUACAUUCGACCCGUGAGCUUUAGCGGCCUACUACUAGAGUCAUAUGCCAAUUAGAGUAGGAGUGGCAUUGCCUGAGGUCCUUAGACCAAUACGAUAGUUGAUUGGGUAUACUUGUGCUAUCAAUUGCAGUUGACUCAUAGUUAUUUCUCCAUCCCUCUUUGCAGUAGCGGUUAUUCAUACCAUUAUCACAGUUGUUUUCAGUUUAAUUUUUAUUAUUAUUGCACUAGUUUGACUGUUGACUAUAGUUGGCCGUUGUUUUAUUAUCUCACUUUACAAUAGUAGUUUUUUGGUGAUAAUCGAUAGUUGUUAUUCCUUAUCAUCAUACCUAAUUUACUUAUUACUGCUGCUAUUUAUCCUUUCCAUCUAUUGAUGUGUACAACUCGCCUUCGUCGGCUUGCGGUACCCACUAGAAGGGGAAGACUUGUUUACAUGUUCUCACCCCCCACUAUUUUUCAGGUAGCUUAAGUGGUGAGGGUCGGGAUGAUGCGUGAGGACGAUAGUAGAUAGUGAGCUCGAGAUAGAGAUCCCAACCUUACAGUAUUAGUUUUGGUUUGACGCUUAUUGUAUGCAUGUCGGUAGAUAGACUUGAUAGCUCAGUUUCUUACCACUCUCAUACUUGUUAGUAGUUAGACAGUAUUGUGGUUUAGUAGAUUUACUCGUGGAUUUGGAUAUCCGUAAAUUUUGAAUACAUGUGAGAUUUUGGACUGGGCUUUCAAACGAAGUUUUUAAAGCAUACUUAUGGUUUUCGCAAAUAAUGAAUUUUUAUCCCUCGUGGUAGCUUGUUUACUUUAAAAUAA
rnacentral:lncRNA from 1 species